rnacentral:lncRNA from 1 species
AACCCUAAGGAUUUACUCCCAUUCGACCACCGCUUUCAACAUCACAAUUGAUGGAUGGCGCCGUUAGAUCCCCCUCCCUAAUCACUGAUUCAUCUUCACAGAUGGUGCUCGUCGAUUCUGGAGAAAUCUCAACCCGAAAUUCCUCCUCAACUUCGAUUUCAACGAAGAAAGGAGAAGAAAUCCAUGGCCUGCUCGCAUGGUAAGGUUUUCCUUCACCUUCGUUUCUUUUCGACAGAAGUAGAUGCAACCAUGAAAAUAAACCGAAUGCAACAGAAAAAAAAAGAACAUAAAGCUUAAAUCGGAAAUCACCUUUAAAUUUUGGUAGCUUUUUUUGUAUUUCAGUAUGUGUGUAUUCGUAUAGUGUGCGUAAGUCCUCUUAGAGUAUAUUCAACGGCUUUUUAUAGCCGGAUUUAUAGAAUAAAAUAAAAAAUAAAAUUACAUUUUCAUUGUUGUCAUUUACUGUGAAUUCGGUUAUCUCUUUAUUCUGGUGUGUUCUUUGUAGGAACGGCCGUACGAAGGAGCGGGGAAAGGUGCGCAUGAAAGAGGUCGUGCAAGGAAACCGUUCAUGGGAGCCCGACCUCCUGGCACUGUUCUAGCACGUUCCAGAAGGUUCUAGUGCUCUCAGCUGUUGAGAUUCCCAUUUUGGGUUCCGGAUUUGGGCUAAAUUUAGGAUAUGGGUUUAUGAAUUUUGGUUAGAAUUGUAUCUGGGCUGGUAUAGGUUCUUCAUUUGGGCCUGAAAAUUUGUAAAAGGACACUGAUGAUGGACUUUUAUUGGUUUUUAUCUUAAUUUAUUUUUGUUUUUGUUUAUUUUUAUUUUUGGUUUUUCUCUAACAAGCCCGGGCAAAAUGGGCCAAUUACAACUGCCCCUCUUUGGUCAUUGUCGUACAACGGGAAUAGAGCAAAGACUUUAAAUAGGACCAAUUUUGCUCGGUUUUGCUGAAUCUUGGCUGCCUUGGGGAAAUAGGACUGGCUUAAACCUGCUCCAUUGCCGAUACAUGGAGAUAAGAUUCACCAUUUCCGAUCUCUACCACUACCUGAGGAGAUAAAAUCUUCAAUCUUCAUCUGCUUCCUUGCUACCUCAGGAAGAUAAGACUUGUAUAUGAGCCUGCUCCAUUGCAACUUCAGGGAGAUAAGGCUGGUGACUUAAAUCUGCUCCAUUGCCGUCAUCUCCAAUCUGCCCCGCUACUGCUUAGGGAAAUAAGAUAUUCAAUCUUCAGUCUGCUUCCUUGCUAUCUCAGGAAGAUAAGACUUGUAUAUGAGCCUACUCCAUUGCAACUUCAGGGAGAUAAGGCUGGUAACUUAAAUCUGCUCCAUUGCCGGUACAUAGAGAUAAGAUUUGUCAUCUCCGAUCUGCUCCGCUACUGCUUAGGAAGAUAAGAUCUUCAAUCUUCAAUCUGCUUUCUUGCUACCUCAAAAAGAUAAGACUCCAUCUUCAACCUGCUCUCUUGCUACCUCAGAGAGAUAAGGCUAGUGGUAAAAUUUGCUCUAUUGCCAAUACAUAGAGAUAAGAUUCACCAUUUUCGAUCUACUCCACUGCAACUUCAGGGAGAUAAGAUACUCAAUCUUCACCAAUGUCGCUACACUAUCCUCUGGGGAACAUGUCCUGGAAACUCCAUUUUGUAUGCGUAUUUUUAUGCCAAAUAAUUAGGAUGCUAUGAUUGAAAUGAAUCCCAUGCUCCUAGCUAAAUGUGGUAUGAAUGAUAUAUGCAGGAAUAAGGAUGAUUCCACCACUCGUUGUUUAUUAAUACUGUUACUAACGCUUUUGCUCAACCAUCAUCUUGACAGAGUAUCCCAAAGAAACAAACCUAUCUUGUCUGGCGAGCUUGCCCCACUGUAAUUCCAACGUCCCUUCUACUACUCUUUUUGAUACAAAACAUUGCAACUCAUAAUUGAAUUUCCCUUUGUUUAAUCUGCUACCUCACUCCUCAUGUCCUAUAGCCAAAUGUAUAUUUUGAUAUUUGUAUGUAUACAAAUAUCAUUUCCCCUUUUUUGAGAAUAAUUCCCUUUUUAUACUGAUCAUUUCUUCAAAAUUGUAUCACCAGCGCCAUAUCUUGUCCUUUCGUUCAAUCAUCAUUUGGACAAAAAUUCUAAAAAGGCGAUUUAUUCAAAUAUAUCAUUGAACUUGAGCGUAUUCUAAACAUUUAUUCCACUUCAAAUUCUUGCAUUAUCUAGAAACUCCUUGAGUAAUAUGCAAAACUUCUAUUGUGAAAACAUUACUAGUUCAAUCAUCAUUAUGUCAAUGCAACAUGCUUGCAAUCAAAUCGUAAUAUGGAUAGAAUGGAAUUGUACUUGAAUUUAAAGUAAAUAAAUCAUCAAAAGAACGAUGAUGGCUAUUAAUUUUGGAUUGUAUAUCCUGAAAAAGAAAGAAUAAUUCAAAAAUAACUAAUUUGCUAGAAAUAAAAUGAGGAUCAGGUACCCUUGUUAUCGCAACCUGAGCUUCUCUGUACGAACUUCUUGAAAACCAAUUCAAACUUGUCAUGUGUUUAGGAGAUCGGCACUACUUUGUCAAUACCCUAAGAUGCAACAUCCCUCCUUCCUUGUUAAUUCAAGUAUAGCAAGAUCACCGCCUUCCCACCUUGGAUCCAUACUUGAGCCGCCUUUUUCGGGUUUUCAACUAAAAUCCCCUUUGGUCACAAGGCGCCCUUUGCGGGUUUUCACCUUGGCCUCUCCUUUUUCUCUUUUUAUUUCUUUUUUAUUAUUGAGUCUCAAAGCGCCCUUUGCGCGUUUUCACUUUGGGCCUUUCCAUUUUUAUUUGGUCUCAAAGUGACCUUUGCGGGUUUUCACUUUGGCCCUUUUUUUUUUGAAAGUCUCAAAGCGCCCUUUGCAGGUUUUCAUUUUGGCUUCCUUCCCUUGUUAAGUGUAAUACUUUUUGACCGAAUCCGAGUUCACUGGACUAGACAAAUUUUUUCCAUCCAUUUCAGCUAGGAUUAAUACACCACCGGAGAAAGCUUUCUUCACCAUAUAAGGUCCCUCCCAAUUCAGUAUCCAUUUUCCUUUGAAAUCUUUUUGUAUGGGAAGGAUUUUUUUCAAAACCAAAUCUCCCUCAUGAAACUCUCUUGGGCGAACCUUUUUGUCAUAAGCCCGCAUCAUUCUUUUUUGAUAUAUCUGUCAUGCUGAAUAGCCUUUAACCUCUUUUCCUCAAUCACAUUCAACUGAUCAUAUCGAGACUGUAUCCAUUCUGCUUCAUCUAACUUCAAUUCUGACAAAACUCGAAGGGAAGGUAUUUCCACUUCAAUGGGUAGAACUGCUUUCAUUCCAUAGAGCAAUGAGAAAUGUGUUGCCCCAGUAGAAGUUCUGACAGAUGUUCGAUAAGCAUAGAGGGGAAAUGGCAAUUUCUCAUGCCAAUCUCUGUAAGUUUCAGUCAUUUUCCCCACAAUCUUCUUGAUAUUAUUAUUGGCCACUUCCACUGCCCCAUUCAUCUUUGGGCGAUAUGGUGAUGAAUUAUGAUGUCUGAUCUUAAACUGACUGCAAACCUCUGCUAUUGUGCUAUUGUUCAAAUUUAACACAUUAUCAGAUAUGAUCCUCUCAGGCAUUCCAUAUCGACAUAUAAUUUCGUUCUUUAAGAAUCUGCUGACUGUCGAUUUAGUUACAUUGGCGUACGAAGCAGCUUCCAUCCACUUGGUAAAAUAAUCAAUGACCACAAAAAUGAAACAGUGCCCAUUUGAAGCCUUCGGUGAAAUUGGCCCUAUGACAUCCAUGCCUCGCAUGGAAAAUGGCCAUGGGGAAGUCAUAACAUGCAAAGGUGAGGGAGGUAUGUGAAUCUUAUCACCAUAAAUUUGACAUUUGUGACAUUUCUUGGCAUAAUUGAUGCAGUCUCCUUCCAUGGUUGACCAAUAAUAUCCAAACCUCAUAAUUUGUCUGGCCAUUGUGAAUCCAUUAGCAUGUGUUCCACAAACACCUUCGUGCACCUGUUCCAAGAUUUUCUUGGACUCCACAGCAUCCACACAUCUCAAAAGUACCUGAUCCUUCCUUCUUUUGUACAGGAUCUCUCCAUCUAAAACAUAAUCGCAGGCGAGCCUUCUCAACAUUCUUUUGUCAUUCUCCAUGGCUUUAUUUGGAUAUUCAUGAUUUCUCACAUAUCGCAAUAUAUCUGGAUACCAAGGAUGAUCAUCUCUUUCUUCUUCCUCUAUAUUAUAACAAUAAGAUGGGACCUCAUAAAUACUCAUCUGAAUGGGCUUCACAUCCUCUUGUCUGUUUACUUUGAUCAUGGAAGCCAAAGUAGCCAAAGCAUCUGCCAUCUGGUUUUCAUCGCGAGGGAGAUAAUUGAAAGUAAUAUCAUCAAACUCUUCAACUAACCCUAACACCAGCCUUCUAUAAUUGAUUAGUUUAGCAUCUCUUGUCUCCCAUUCACCUCGAAGUUGGUAAAUUACUAGCCCAGAAUCUCCAUAUACUUCCAUCACCUUGAUCUUGUGCUCUAUAGCUGCCUUGAGCCCCAUGAUACAUGCUUCAUAUUCUGUCAUAUUAUUCGUACAAUCAAAAUCCAAUUUACAUGUGAAUGGAUAAUGAUCUCCAUUUGGGGAUACCAGAACUGCCCCAACUCCAUUACCCACAGCGUUUGAGGCUCUAUCAAAAUUCAACUUCCAAAAGUGACCCUUUAUAGUGUCCUCUUCAGCGACUGCCACAUACACUAUCUCCUCAUUGGGAAAGUCAAAAUUCAAGGGUUCAUAAUCUUCUAAAGCUCGGCUGGCCAAAAAAUCUACUAUUGCGCUUCCCUUUACAGCUUUUUGACUCGUGUAGAUUAUGUCAAAUUCAGAAAAUAAAAUUUGCCACCUAGCCAUCCUUUCAUUCAAGGCAUUUGACUCCAUCAUAUACUUUAAAGGAUCCAACUUUGAGAUUAGCCAGGUUGUAUGAUACAACAUAUAUGGCCUCAAUCUUCGUGCUGUCCAAACCAAAGCGCAACACAAUUUUUUAAUUGGCGAAUAUCUCAACUCACACUCAGUGAGUUUCUUGCUGAGGUAAUAUAUCGCCCUUUUCUUUCUUCCAGAUUCAUCAUGUUGACUAAGCACACAUCCCAUUGAAUUACCAAACACGGUUAAAUACAAUAUCAACGGCUUGUCUGAACUUGGGGUGAUAACACUAGAGGACUUGACAAAUAUUCUUUAACUUUAUCAAAAGCCUUUUGACAUUCCUCAUCCCAUUCUCCUGGGUUAUGCUUUUCAAGAAGAUGGAAUAUAGGGUCACACUUCUCUGUUAAUUGAGAAAUAAACCGCGCAAUAUAAUUUAGUCUUCCGAAGAAAAAUCGAACUUCUUUUUGGGUGCGCGGUGGAGACAACUCCUGUAUAGCUCGGACUUUGUCGGAACCAAUCUCAAUUCCCUUCUCACUAACCACAAAGCCCAAUAACUUUCCGGAUCUAUCCCCAAAAGUACACUUUGUUGGAUUAAGCUUUAGCUGAAACUUUCUCAAUCUCAUGAACAACUUUCUCAAUACUUCGAUAUGCUCCUUUUCAGUUCGAGAUUUGGCUAUCAUAUCAUCAACAUAUACUUCAAUCUCCCUGUGCAUCAUAUCAUGGAAUAAAGUCACCAUAGCUCUUUGAUACGUUGCUCCAGCAUUCUUUAAUCCAAAUGGCAUCACCUUGUAACAGAACGUGCCCCACAAGGUUAUGAAAGUAGUCUUCCCCAUAUCUUCAGAAUGCAUCUUUAUCUAAUUGUACCCUGAGAAUCCAUCCAUAAAGGAAAACAACGAGUAUCCAGCCGUAUUGUCCACUAGCAUAUCAAUAUAAGGCAAAGGGAAGUUGUCUUUUGGGCUAACCUUAUUUAGAUCUCUAUAAUCCACACACAUUCACACCUUGCCGUCUUUCUUGGGAACAGGCACAACAUUGGCUACCCAUUCUGAGUACUUGAUCACCUGAAGGAAUCCCGCAUCAAACUACUUUUUGACUUCCUCCUUGAUUUUUAAGACAAUAUCUAGCCUCAUUCGUCAAAGUUUCUGCUGUACUGGCUUACAAUUUGCUCUUAUAAGAAGGCAAUGCACCGUAAUAUCAGGGCUUAAACCGGGCAUAUCCUAGUAUGACCAUGCAAAAACAUCUUUGAAUUCCUAAAGCAACCCAACAAGGUCUCGCUUUGUUUCUUCUACUAUGCAUGUUCCAAUUUUUAUAGCUUUCCCCUAUUCCAAAGUCACCAUGUCUACGGUUUCUUUAUGAGGCAAAAUUUGUUUUUCCUCUUGUUCUACCAUCAUUAACAAAUCCAGAGAUAAAUCACAAUCUCUGUCAUCUUGAAAGUCCUAAGAUCCCUCUAAACACAUGUCUUGCUCGAAUAGUAAUUCUGAGUCAGUAACAGCGUCACUCAUGAUAUUGAUAUCCCGGGACCUAUUAUAAGUAAAAAGGAAAAAAAUACAAAGAAUGAAUGAAUUUGAUGAUUAUUGUUUUGUAUGGUAUGUUUACGAAUGAAAUAGAAGGAUAAUUGAAGAAAGAAUCAGAAUAAUUAUUUAAAUAGAAAGAAUAACACAAUUGCUUAUGAAAAGAAUAAUAUUUGCUUAAAAUGAUAGAAAAAAAUGUACUUCAUUGAAAUAAUGAUGUUUGAACAUGAGCCUAUUUCACAAAGAAAUCUUUAUUGUCUCUAGGCUUAAAACAACAAGUUUGUUUCGAACAUUACUCUGAGUAAGCUCUAAAAACUACAGGAAGAUCCUCUGCAGUCCAAUUGUCUAGAAUGCUCCCAGGCUCAUAUUGACGAAUAUUUGACGAAAUCCCCUCUUCAAUUGUCUCUUCAAAUAUGGCAUUGAUGUACAUAUUUCCCAAUGCUUCUUCCAUGCUUUCUUUCUCCAGCAUCCCUCGUUCAGGAUAAAUAAUGCCUCCUGAUACAAAAGACUUAGAGAUAUGAGGAAUUAUCAUGGGCUCCCACUUGAUUUCCCCACCACUCACUCGUGCUCUUCUUCUUUCUUGCCUUCUUUCUAGUUCAUUUUUCCUUUGUCUUGCAUCUGGCUUGAACCCCAAACCAAAGCGAUCCUGUUUGUCUUUCAACAUUGGAACUGCAAUCCUUCCUUGGAGACAUCUUCCAAGUCCCUUCCCUGGUAAAGCUCCAUGUCCUACCAUCAACUGUAAACCCAUCAUCAUAGUUCUGGACAUUUUCGGCUCCGGAAUUCUACUUCCCUCAAUGAUAAAUGUUGCAUCCACAAACUCCAAAGACCGAAAAGAACAUUCAAUGGCCUCUUCAUCUGUCUCUACAUACGGCGCAUCACUACUUACGGUUGCGAUAAUAUCUUCUUCAGCAUUUAUCGUUACCAACCGCUCUUUUGAUACCAGCUUUAGCUUUUGAUGUAACGAUGAAGGCACUGCCCCUGCUGAAUGUAUCCAAGGUCUUCCCAACAAGCAGUUGUAAAAUGGCUUAAUAUCUAUUACUAGAAAAUCUACCUCAUACGUGGUUCGGCCAAUUAACAAGGGUACCUCUAUCCUUCUCAUGACUCUCCUCUUCGUGCCAUCAAAUGCUCGUACUAUGUUCUGACAUCCUUUCAUGUGAGAACUACCCACAUGUAACUUGUUUACUGUGGACAAAGGCAACACGUUCAAUGCUGAACCAUUAUUUACCAAUACCCUUGGCAACGUGUAUCCUUUACAUUUGGUAGUUUUAUGCAAAGCUUUGGUAGAUCCCAUUCCUCCUAGUGGAAUCUCAUCAUCAUUGAAAAAGAUGAAGUUGUCUGCACUUAUGUUGUUAACCAACCGAUCCAACUUAUUGACGAAAAUAUCGUUGAUUACAUAUGUCUCGUUUAGCACCUUCAUCAACGCACUCCGAUGCACCUCUGAACUCAGGAGUAAGGGCAAUAUAGAUAUGCGAGCUGGUUGUUUACGCAACUGUUCCAUCACACUGUACUCGCUAUGUUUUAGAAAUUUUAAGAAUUCCUUAGCUUCUUCUUCUUUCACUAGUUCAUUAACAGGCACAUCAAGUUCAACUACUUUUCCCCUUUUCUGUUCAAUCGUCAAAUCUUUUCCUUUUACAGGCUCUGUUUGAGCACUUGUCAAAUCAUAUCGCCUUCCACUGCGUGUGUGACAACCUAUAUUUUGGUACUCCUUUAACGAGCAGACUAAACUCUCUUUUCCCAGAAUUGUCAAAUUACAAUCGUAGUUCCAGGGGACCCUUUUACUAUCCAUGUAAGAAAAAACUGCUGGCUUCUGAAUUAUGAUCUUUGGCGUCACCUGAACUCCUGCUUCAUUCUAAGGACGCAAAAUAAUAACCACGGGAUAAUUGACUUUUGAGACACUUGACACAGAUUCUGACACGCAUAUAUACUCUUCCUCUGUAACCUCUUCAUAAAACUUUAUUUCUUUGCUGUCCAUCAAGCCCUAAAUAACAACUCUAAACCCUUCACAAUCUUGAAUUCUAUGUCCCUCUUUAUGAUGGAACUCACAAUAAUUCUCCAUCCCAUUAUUAUUUCCUUCUGUGUUUAAAGUAACUAAUCCCCUUCUUGCCAUCUCUUUCCAAACUCGUCUCAAAGGAGUUUUUACUUCUAAAACAUCCCUUUUGGUCCUUUUCCAAUACCUCCAUCUAUUGCAUUACCCUGCUAUCAGUAUGAUUAGGUAGCAGAUUUUCAGUACUGGGCGCAUUAUCGAAUUUCACAAUACCCAUCUGGAUAAAUCUCUCAACCAGCUUCUUAAAAGUGGUGCAAUUUUCUAUCAAAUGACCCACAAUUCCCACGUGAUACUCACAUUGAGCAUUAGCAUCGUACCAUUUAGGGAACAGGGGCUGCAAUGGCUUUAAGUAAAAAGGUGUCACCGCAUGUGCAUCAAACAAACUUUGACAUAACUAUUUGUAUGUCAUGGGAAUUGGUGUAAAUUGAAUCUUCUCAUUAUUCUGCCUGGUUUCUAACUCUUGCCUUGAUGAACCCUGACCAGUAGUUUCCGCUUUUGGUUGACUCGCAGUAAUAGACUUUGAAUAUCCCAUGUUCGCAUUGUUCACCUCAUUUUCUUUUUUCCGUGGCACAUACCUUUUAGCACUUUCCCUUGCGUCUAUCCUUCCAUUUCUUAUGGCAUUCUCAAUCAUUUCUCCUAUCAUGACCACAUCUACAAAGCUCCUCGUGGCACUUCCUAGCAUAUGAGUUAUAAACGGAGCCUUUAAGGUGUUAAUAAAGAACAUCGUAGUUUCUUUCUCCAAGAGCGGUGGCUGAACUUGAAUGGCCAUUUCCCUCCACCUCUGUGCAUAUUGCUUAAAACUUUCAUUUGGUUUUUUCUUCAUAUUCUGUAGAGUAAUUCUAUCGUGAAUUAUAUCUGUCACAUGGCUAUAUUGCUUCAUGAACGCUUGUUCUAAAUCUCUCCAUGAACUAAUUUUGUUUCAACUCAACUGAUUAUACCAUUUAGCAGCUACUCCUACCAAACUGUCUUAGAAGCAAUGAAUCAACAAUUGAUCGUUAUGAACAUACCCCGUCAUUCUUCUGCAAAACAUAGUGAUAUGAGCUUCAGGACAGCUCGUUCCAUUAUAUUUCUCAAAUUCUGGCAUCAUGAACUUGUAUGGCAGUACUAAGUCUAGGACCAAACUUAGACCUUUUGCAUCAAUUCCCGGGUGUCUAUCAACACAUUCCAUUGCUCUGACCUUUUCCUCUAGCCAUUUACACCAUUCUUCCAGCUGCUUUUGUGACUCUGCCUUUGCUCUUUCCUUUUUCACAACUUCAUCCAAAUCAGGGACCAUGGGAUUAUUCGAAUUGUUACCAGGAUUAUAACCUGAACUAGCUUAAAAAUUCAUUGGCACUGAAACCCCGGCCUGAAACUGUUGAGGCCUGAUUGUAACAGAUGGUUUCUGCAAAUUAAUCUCAGGUUGUGUCUGUACAUGUAUAGGAGUGAAGCCAGGAGGAUAUUGAGGGUCUUCAUUAUUUUCUCCCACAUUAUCCAUAGGGCUUUUUCCCUUAUCCACUCUUCCCAUCAGCAAUUGGGACAACUGACUCAUCAUCUCUCUUUAGGACUCCAUCAUCUGUUCUUUCAUCUCUUGCUGAAUCUUAACCAACUACUCUUGUAUCUGUGACUGCAUUUGCUCUUGCAUAUCCUUUUGCAUUUGUUCUAACUUUUCCAGUCUUUUGUCCAUUGACUUAGUCUUUUUCCUCGUACCGUAGGGAUGCGUAUUUGGUGUGUUUUUGUUGGUUUCCAGAUUACUGAAAUAAUUUUUAAUUAAUUAGAAUCUUGUCAUGAUCUUUAAUGUAUAUGAUGUAAUGUAAUGCAAAUGCAUGAAUGCAAAGGAGGCAUCAAUUCUGAUUCAAUUCCUUUUAGAAAACUUUACUAGAAAAUAAAAUUCUUUACAUAAAACUGAGUUACAAAUAUGACUUCGCCCUAACACUCAGGGCUUUAAUUUUCCUAAGCAAUGAAGCUAGUUCUUGUCCCCUCUGACUCCAACUCGUACUUCACACUUAAUAUGUCUGCUUAUACCGCCAAUGACUGCAAGUAAUCAGCUACUUCUCGAAUUUGUGUUACAGCUUCUCCCGUGAUGUAAUCCCUGCUUCUAACCUGGUCUUGAGAGUGAUGAAGCUAGCUCUUCCAUUUCUCUUCAUUUGCCUCCAAGAACUCAAUCCUCAUUUCACAACUUUGUAAGGCCAUCUCUAACUCUUUUAUUUUCCCUUUCAUCUCCUCAAUCUUACUUAAGCUUGCUUUCAACUCUGUCACAGAAUUACGGUUCCAGUAUAAAUAUAGAAAUCUCUUAAGUUCCGCUACUCUGGCUCUUAAUUCAUCUUUUUCAUUCUUACUCUUCGACAGACUUCUCUCUAGGGCUUCAUUCCGAGCUUGAGCCUCCUAGAACUUCUUUUCCCAUUGGCCAACCCUAAUCCUUUCUUCUCAAACUUCUUGGCGCCAUUGUUUCAAAGUCAUUCCUAGCCCAGCAGUCCUCAUCGACAAGCGCAGCUUCUUAUAAUCUGUCUUCAGGCUUUCCAAAUCUUCCUCAACUUCAUUAUUCCUUUUCUGUAACUUUUCCGCUUCUAACUUUUGAAUCUCCACAUCUAGCUUCAGGUGCAUCUUUUCUUAUUCCAACUGCUCGAUCUUUUUCCCAAACUCAGAACUCUUCUUCUCAAAGUCUUGCUUUAUAAUUUCCAACUCUGACGGGGCAAUUUGUAACUGUUCCUCUAUUGGUCGAACAUUUUCCAAACUUGGUCUAGGAAUAUUAUCAUUGGCCCUUUUCCUAAACCAUCCAUUAUAUUCAGGUGUUACCAUGGGACCAACAACCAACUUCUUCAUCUAGCGCGUUUGCCUCCAAACAUCAAAUAAUUCCCAAACCUUCUUCCUAUAAUGGUCUCUUUUAUAUGGGAAUUCACACUGAGCCAGCCUGUACGUCGUAGGUAUGAACUGCCUUGAUUUAUAUUGCCUUAAUGCAAGUAAAGGAGUAUAUCCAGUAGCUCCCUAAAUUCCUAACAAUGGCACCCAAUUAUAAUUCCCACAUCGAUACAAGAUUUCAUCAGGUACCAUCUAGAAAGCUCUCCACUCUACGUCAUCCUCCUUGAGAUUUUGGAGAAUUUCCAUCCAUUUCUCUUAUGAAAUGUCAUCUCUCCUUUGCAUAGCCAUCUCUUCUUUUAAUGGGGAGUAACCUUCGGAGAAGACCCGGUAAGAAACCUUAUUCACUUUCCAAAAAUGCCCUUGAAACCAUACCAUCAACAGCUAUGCACAUCCAAUAAAUCGACCUUCACCUGUCCUCCGACACAUGCUUAAAGAUCUAAACGUCUCGGCCAGUAUUGCAGGUACAGGUGUGACUCCCUUCUCGAGACGAUCAAACAAACCAGUGACUGCCUCAUCAACAUGCCUUAAAGCCUUAGGAAAAAUCACCACUCUAUAGAUGCUUAAGGCAAAGAUAUCAGCCCUUUUCUUUUCAUCUGGAUGCGUCAAAACCAAAUCUCUCAAAUUUUCCCAGGGAAUACACUUACUAUCCCCCUUUUGUUGAAUCCGAGCAGUGACCCAAGACUCACUCAUCCCUGAAAUAUUCACCAACUUUUUCACAAAAGUCUGACCAUUAUAAACCUUAGCAUAAGCUUUUCUCACCUGAGCCUUUAGACUCCUCAGCAAGGUCGUAUAUUCUUCCAAGGUAGGAACCAAAUCUACUUCCCCAAAAGUGAAACAAUUAUAAGCAGAAUUCCAAAAUUGAGUCAUACCUCGGAACAAACGCUUAUCCACCUUAACAUCGAGAAAGUACGGUAUAUCACCAUCACUCUAGUAAAACAACUGUUUAAUGCCCUUAUCCCAACGAGUCCAUAUAUCCUUCAACUCCUGCAGCUCAUUCUGUGUUACAUUGAUACGAGUAAAGUUCUGCAACUCUGAUGUAUAUCCUUCUGCCAGGCUAUCCCCUAUCUCUGUUUGUAACUUCUCUGACCAUGCACGGACGGCCGCAUUAUCCUCAACUUUACUAAGAAAUUCAUUCUCCAUGUUAAACUUUCUAACUUAGUAAUCGAAUACGAACCAACACCUCAUUUAGUAUGCAAUUUCAUGUAAAACACAAUCAAAACAAAACACAAGUUAGUAUCAAAUAUAAGUGAUAAAAUACAAGUAUAAAGAUAAUCAUAACACACAUAUGGGCAAUGACUAAGGCUUGACGCGGCUCUACCUAAGGAUAGCUCUUAAGGUUCACUAUAUGUAGUUUGGUUCUAGAGUAAAAGUACCCGAACCAACAGAUUCCUCAAUCCUCACCCAUUAUAGGCUCAUAUGGAUCGAGUUCGGUUCAGGGGAAUACAUUUCCCUAUGACCAUGCAGAGAUGAAAAUCUCACGAAAUCAUAGGUACGGAUGUAUCUUGGAAGCAAUCCACUAGCCCAUACGGAGGUGAAAACCUCACGAAAGCAUAGUUUCUUAUUCCCACUUAACAGGUAUAACCAUAGCGGUCAUGCAAUGCAAUGCCAUAUUAUUCUACCAAACUCGUACUACUACAAUCAUGCCAACAAAUGCAAUUAAAAGAAUCAUGAUUUUCAAAACAAAUUUUCAAUUCUUUGACAAAAGGACAACAAACAAUCAAUUUUAUGGCCUGACUCUCUUUGUUCAAUCCCCAGUGGAGUUGCCAAAGCUAUCGAAACCCUUUUUAUUUUAAAAACAAUGGGGAUCAACUUUUUAAAACCUAAUGUGGAGUCACCACCAAUCUCUAGGUUUUGGUGUGAUUGGGCCACCUACUAAAACGUUUUGUUCCAUUAAAAGCAAUUUUGGUUCACGUAAAAAAUCAAAAAUAAGUUCUAGAGUCGGUUACAUAUGAGGAAGGGUGAGCACCCUCAUUAUGCCCAAAAAUUGGUACCAAAUUGAUUCGAUGCUAUCCUUAUAUCAAAGAUUUUAAGAAAAAGGAUCUUUUAAAGCAUGAUUCUUUAAAAUGUGUGAAUAAUUCAAGUUAAUUAUCAAAAUUCUCUCGUUUCAAAUAUAUGCAGCAUCAUACCCAGCACGAUUGGAUGCGAUCCUUUAUACCUUCAAAAAUACGAUUGAUUUUUGACUUUCAAAAAUUCGUCCAUUAAAAUAAUAAAAGGUUAUCCAAAUAUUUAGUUCACCGAAAAAAUCAUACCUAGCACGAUUGGACACGAUUUCUUGAAUUCCCAAAUAUUAGAUAUUGCCUUAUUUCAGAAUUUUUGAAUAAUAAGGAAAAUUGGAAAUUCACUCAAAACACAUUUAUUUGUUUUAAAAUAGAUGGAAUACUUAAUGCAUUGUAACAAAACAUUUGUAUAAAAAAAGGGUUAAUGAGCAUGAAAUAAUAUACACAAAUAUAGUACAAUAAACCUCAAUUAAUAAAUCCAACAAUUAUGUACAAUUAUUCUAAGUAUAAUGUGACCAAAAAUUCCUUAAGCACGGAUGGUGAAUAAUUAAUACAAAAAUAAUAUACACAAUAAUUAAGAUGGCACAAUAUAAAAUGAUUCACAAAAAUAUGUACAAAAUAAAAUGGAAUUAGAAGUCAAUAUAGUAUAAGACACUUUUAAAAUUAUGAUGAAUUAAUGGACACAUAAUAUAAGUUGACAAGUUUGUAUAAAAACUAGGGAUAUACAAUUAUUUGAAAUAAAUAUUGUAGAAUAAAACAUUUGAAUUGAAUAAUAUGCAAAAUAUUUUAAGCACAAAUUCAUUUAAAAAUUGACAUCAUGCAUGAUAGCUUAAAUAACAUACAAAUAUAAAAGAAUAAUAAAACACAUGAUAAGAUAUAAUUUAUAAAGGGAAUUAAUGAUGAAUUAAUGGACACAUAAUAUAAGUUGACAAGUUUGUAUAAAAACUAGGGAUAUAUAAUUAUUUGAAAUAAAUAUUGUAGAAUAAAACAUUUGAAUUGAAUAAUAUGCAAAAUAUUUUAAGCACAAAUUCAUUUAAAAAUUGACAUCAUGCAUGAUAGCUUAAAUAACAUACAAAUAUAAAGGAAUAAUAAAACACAUGAUAAGAUAUAAUUUAUAAAGGUAAAAACUAUAUUUACAAAAUACAUAAAAUUAGUGAUGUAUAUUUAUAAAACUAUAUUUAUAAAGAGAAUUUUGAAACAAAUAAUAUAUAACAUAAUUUUACAUGUAACAAAUAGAUUUGGAUUGAUGGUAUAUAUAAAUAUUACAAACAUAAGAUAAUAAUAUAUGGAAAUUUAUGAUAUAACUAGAAUAUAUAAUCUUACAUAUGGUUCUUAAAAAACAUGUUAUACACAUAAAUAAACUUAAAGGAAACUAUACUUUUAUUGAAAAUCUUUACAUAAAAUAAGGUGAAAUCAAUAACACAUAUGGGAGUAAAAAGGUAAUUUAAUAUGAAUUAUGUACCAUAAUGUAAGACUUAAAACAAUGCAGACUUCCAAAAAUAUAUAUAUAAAAUAUCUUACAUACAUAUAUUGUAAAAAUUAAACAAGUUAAAACAUGCAUGCAUAUAUAUAUACUAAUGAAAGUGCUUGAACAAUGCAAAAUUAAUGAAAUAAUUCUUAAUAUUAUGUACAAAGAUAUAUUACAAAUGAAUUUCUUUGAAAAAAAAUAUAAAGAAUAAAACUUAAGCUAAAAAAAAACUCAAUUGAAGCAAGAAUAAAAUUAAAAGGAUAAUUUACAAAUGAAAUAAGUUUUUGAAAUUAAAACAAGGACCCCUGCGCAAUGCGUGCAAAUGUGUAUGGGCUAAAGCUGGAAAUAUUCCAGAUCUCCAAAAACACUCUGCUGAGACACGGAUCCAAUUGCAAAUACGCUCAAAUUGCCAAGUCAAAUUAGAAAAGAAUUAAGCAAACAACAUGAGAUUGAAUGGUAGCGCGAAAGAAGAAUGACCAAUUGCGGAAUUAUCCCUCUCCGUAGAAACACGCGGAUCCCAGGGGUAAAUGAACCGGAUUGGGUCGGCCAAGCCUAAACGGCACUGUUUCAAGGCUACAAAUCCAUGCCUUAAACGUCAUCGUCUCAUGGUGCCAAUUAAAAUAAAAAAAACAUCCUCUAAAAGCUUAUUUCGGCAGAGCAGAUUGAAAAGGGGAAAAAGGAAACCCUAAGGAUUUACUCCCAUUCGGCCGCCGCUUUCAACAUCACAAUUGAUGGAUGGCGCCGUUAGAUCCCCCUCCCUAAUCACCGAUUCAUCUUCACAGAUGGUGCUCGUCGAUUCUGGAGAAAUCUCAACCCGAAAUCCCUCCUCAACUUCGAUUUCAACGAAGAAAGGAGAAGAAAUCCAUGGCCUGCUCGCAUGGUAAGGUUUUCCUUCACCUUCAUUUCUUUUCGACAGAAGUAGAUGCAACCAUGAAAAUAAAUCGAAUGCAAAAGAAAAAAAGAACAUAAAGCUUAAAUCGGAAAUCACCUUUAAAUUUUGGUAGCUUUUUUUGUAUUUCAGUAUGUGUGUAUGCAUAUAGUGUGCGUAAGUCCUCUUAGAGUACAUUCAACGGCAUUUUAUAGCCAUAUUUACAAAAUAAAAUAAAAAAUAAAAUUACAUUUUCAUUGCUGUCAUUUGCUGUGAAUUCAGUUAUCUCUUUCUUCUAGUGUCUUCUUUGCAGGAACGGCCAUACAGAGGAGCGGGGAAAGGUGCACGUGAAAGAGGCUGUGCGGGGAAACCGUUCGUGGGAGCCAGACCCCCUGGCACUGUUCUGGCACGUUCCAGAAGCUUCUAGUGCUCUUGGCUGUUGAGAUUCCCCUUUUGGGUUCCGGAUUUGGGCUAAGUUUAGGAUAUGGGUUUAUGAAUUUGGGUUAGAAUUGUAUCUGGGAUGGUAUAGGUUCUUUAUUUGGGCCUAAACAUUUGUAAAAGGACACUGAUGAUGGACUUUUAUUGGUUUUUAUCUUAAUUUAUUUUUGUUUUUGUUUAUUUUGGUUUUUGGUUUUUCUCUAACAAGCCCGGGCGAAAUGGGCCAAUUACACAAUCAUAUGAAUCACAACAUUUCUAUCAAUAGGCCAAGUACAGGUAAACACAUUUAGAUACACAAACGUUUCUCAAUGAGUACAUAUGCAUUUUCUCAUGUAAGCUUACCAAUUACUUCACUUUUCAAUACUUGUAUGUAUCUCGUAUGUACCUGAGUCAUUUAACUCAUUAACACAUUCUUUCUCGACAUGUCUUUGCCCGUUGAACCAUUCAGAAUUGUUAAGGAUACUCGAAAAUCACAUAAGCUCGUACAAUGUCCUAGAUAUGGUCUUACAUGUUAUCACAUAUCGAUGCCACUGUCCCAGGUAGGGUCUUACACAAAAUCGAUUAACGAUGCCAAUAUUCCAGACAUGGUUGUACAUGUAAUCACAUCUCGAUAACCUAAUGUCACGACAUUCAUAUCUUAUACUACUCCUAAGGUUCGUAUGAAACUUUCGGAUGUCGUAACUUCGUCGAUUCAUGCUCUUAUUUGCUCAUUCGACAUUCAUAGCAAUUCAAUGAUAAUAAAACAUAUUCAAUUCAAAUACAGUUAUUUGCAUAUGAACUUACCUCGUAGUCGAAAGUAACGGAUGGGGUCGACUAUUCGAUAACUUUUCAUUUCCUCCAAUAUAAAUCCAAUCUCUUUCUUUCUUGAUCUAUAUACAUUCAAAAGUUUGGCUUUUAUUUUAUUUAUGUUAUGUUAAUUAACAUUUUUACUAAUUUACCCUUAAUGAAACCAUUAUGAAAUCACCUAUUACAAGCCCAUUUAUGAAAAUUUCCACUUUUAAUGGUCUAAUAACAACAUAAGGACCUUUCAUUUAAUAAGCCAUAGAAUUAGACACCUUUAUCAAAUAGAAUACAACUUUUGCAUUUUACGCGAUUUAGUCAUUUUCUCAAAUUAACCACUUAAACAAUAAAAUUAGCACACGAAACUUUCACACAUACAUACUCACAUGCUGUAAACACAUAAAAUAAUAUUAAAAUAAUUUUCUAAUCUCAGAUUUGUGGUCCCGAAACUACUGUUCUGAUUUAGCUAUAAACCAGGCUGUUACAACUCUCCCCCAUAGGGAUUUUCGUCCCCGAAAAUCUUACCAACGAAUAGGUUUGGAUAUUGCUUUCUCAUAGCAUCCUUGGGUUCCCAUGUAGCUUCUUCAACCCCGUGUCGAUGCCACAAUACUUUCACUAAUGCGAUUUUCUUAUUUCUUAGCUCUUUGAUCUCACGAGCUAAAAUUCGAAUCGGUUCUUCACUGUAUGACAAAUCUGACUGAAUAUCAACUUCGAUUGGGGAAAUAACAUGCAAAGGAUUGGAUCUGUAUUUUUGAAGCAUCGAUACAUGAAAUACAUUAUGUAUCUUUUCUAACUCAGAUGGUAAUGCUAGCCGAUAAACAACUAGUUCUACUCGUUCGAUAAUCUCGUACUUGGUUUGGUUUCAUACAUACAACUUUUGUAUUUAGCCAGACAACAUUGAAAAGUUAUUUUACAUUAUUUGCUAAAUCCCAUUCGUACUUGUCCAGAGUUAUCUUCGAUCCUACUUUUCUUCACAUAAUUCAAAAGAUCAUACUUAAUCUUUGAGUACCAAACAUACCUCAACAAUCUUCAAAAACCCUUUGUCCAAUCCUCAUGGUCAAAACUUACUUGUAGUCGCAAAUUUUCCAAAGUAUGUUGUGUUUGUACGGCCAUAAAAAUAGGUCUACUAGUUUUGAGUAAGUUUAUCGGGUUCCUGGUGAAAGCUAGGAGUUAAUCGGGUUUACUAGUCAUUUCUUUAAAAAAAAUAGUUAGCUUAAUUUCAUUUAAAAAUCGGUAAAUAAUAUUCCGGAAAAUAAAAAUAUUUUUAGAGAAAUCAAUUUUAUGGUUUUAAAUAUUUUUGGUUAAAAUAAAUAUUUUAUUGAAAAAUAAAUUAAAUGGGGUUUCAUUGAGAGAAGUUACAAUAUUAACUAAAUAGGUAUAUAAUAUUCCGGAAAAUUAAAAUAUUUUUAGAAAAAUAUCCCAGAUAUCAUGAAUACAAAUACCCCUAUCCAUUUAGGCUGACACAAAUUCUUCCACGGGAGUAUCGCCCAAUAUUUUCCUCUUUCCUUUCCAGACCACCAAAUUCUGCUUAUUUUUUAAAGAAGCUCGUCGAUCACAAUCCUAAUUGUCCAAACCGACUUGUAAUCGAAAAAUUUCCAAAGUAUGUUGUGUUUGUAACGCCCUAAAAAUAGGUCUACUACUUUUGAGUAAAUUUCUCGGGUUCCGGGUGAAAGCUAGGAGUUAAUCGGGUUUACUACUCAUUUCUUUAAAAAAAAUAGUUAGCUUAAUUUCAUUAAAAAACCGGUAAAUAAUAUUCCGGAAAAUAAAAAUAUUUUUAGAUAAAUCAAUUUUAUGGUUUUAAAUAUUUUUUGGUUAAAACAAAUAUUUUAUUGAAAAAUAAAUUAAAAUGGGGUUUCAUUGAGAGAAGUUACAAUACUAACUAAAUAGGUAUAUAAUAUUCCGGAAAAUAAAAAUAUUUUUUAAAAAAUAUCACGAAUAUCAUGAAUACUAAUACCCCCAUCCUUUUAGGCUAACACAAAUUCUUCCACAGGAGUAUCGCCCAAUAUUUUCUUCUUUUCAUUCCAGACCACCAAAUUCUACUUAUCUUUGAUAGAAGCUCCUCGAUCACAAUCCUAAUUGUCCAAACCUACUUGUAAUCACAAAUUUUCCAAAGUAUGUUGUGUUUGGAAUGCCCUAAAAAUAGGUCUACAAGAUUUGAGUAAGUUUAUCGGGUUCCGGGUGAAAGCUAGGAAUUAAUCGGGUUUACUAGUCAUUUCUUUAAAAAAAUUAGUUAACUUAAUUUCAUUUAAAAAUCGGUAAAUUAUAUUCUGGAAGAUAAAAAUAUUUUUAGCGAAAUCAAUUUUAUGGUUUUAAAUAUUUUUUGGUUAAAAUAAAUAUUUUAUUGAAAAAUAAAAUAAAAUGGGGUUUAAUUAAGAGAAGUUACAAUAUUAACUAAAUAGGUAUACAAUAUUCAGGAAAAUAAAAAUAUUUUUAAAAAAAUAUCACGAAUAUCAUGAAUACUAAUACCCCAUCCUUUUAGGCUGACACAAAUUCUUCCACAGGAGUAUCGCCCAAUAUUUUCUUCUAUCCUUUCCAGACCACAAAAUUCUGCUUAUCUUUGAUAGAAGCUCCGCGAUCCCAAUCCUAAAUGUCCAAACCUACUUGUAAUCGCAAAUUUUCCAAAGUAUGUUGUGUUUGUAACGCCCUAAAAAUAGGUCUACUAGUUUUGAGUAAGUUUAUCGAGUUCCGGGUGAAAGCUAGGAGUUAAUCGGGUUUACUACUCACUUCUUUAAAAAAAUAGUUAGCUUAAUUUCAUUUAAAAAUUGGUAAAUAAUAUUCCGAAAAAUAACAAUAUUUUUAGACAAAUCAAUUUUAUGGUUUUAAAUAUUUUGUGGUUAAAAUAAAUAUUUUAUUGAAAAAUAAAUUAAAAUGGGGUUUAAUUGAGAGAAGUUACAAUAUUAACUAAAUAGGUAUAUAAUAUUCCGGAAAAUAAAAAUAUUUUUAGAAAAAUAUCACGAAUAUCAUGAAUACUAAUACCCCUAUCCUUUUAGGCUCACACAAAUUCUUCCACGGGAGUAUCGCCCAAUAUUUUCCUUUUUCCUUUCCAGACUACCAAAUUCUGCUUAUCUUUGAUAGAAGCUCCUCGAUCACAAUCCUAAUUGUCCAAGCCUACUUCUAAUCGCAAAUUUUUCAAAUAAUGUUGUGUUUUUGAAGCCCUAAAAAUUGGUCUACUAGUUUUGAGUAAGUUUAUCGGGUUCGGGGCGAAAGCUAGGAGUUAAUCGAGUUUACUACUCAUUUCUUUAAAAAAUAUUAGUUAGCUUAAUUUCAUUUGAAAAUCGGUAAAUAAUAUUCCAGAAUAUAAAAUAUUUAGAGAAAUCAAUUUUUUGGUUUUAAAUAUUUUUUGGUUAAAAUAAAUAUUUUAUUGAAAAAUAAAUUAAAAUGGGGUUUAAUUGAGAGAAGUUACAAUACUAACUAAAUAGGUAUAUAAUAUUCUGAAAGAUAAAAAUAUUUUUAGAAAAAUAUCACGAAUAUCAUGAAUACUAAUACCCCCAUCCAUUUAGGCUGACACAAAUUCUUCCACGGGAGUAUCGCCUAAUAUUUUCCUCUCUCCUUUCCAGACCACCAAAUUCUGCUUAUCUUUGAUAGAACCUCCUCGAUCACAAUCCUAAUUGUCCAAACCUACUUGUAAUCGCAAAUUUUCCAAAGUAUGUUGUGUUUGUAAUGCCCUAAAAAUAGGUCUACUAGUUUUGAGUAAGUUUAUCGGGUUCCGGGUGAAAGCUAUGAGUUAAUCGGGUUUACAAGUCAUUUUUAAAAAAAAAAAUUAGUUAGCUUAAUUUCAUUUGAAAAUCAAUAAAUAAUAUUUCGGAAUAUAAAAAUAUAUUUAUAUAAAUCAAUUUUAUGGUUUUAAAUAUUUUUUGGUAAAAAUAAAUAUUUUAUUGAAAAAUAAAUUAAAAUGGGGUUUAAUUGAGAGAAGAUACAAUAUUAACUAAAUAGGUAUAUAAUAUUCCAGAAAAUAAAAAUAUUUUUAGAAAAAUAUCAUGAAUAUCAUGAAUACUAAUACCUCCAUCCUUUUAGGCUGACACAAAUUCUUCCACGGGAGUAUCGCCCAAUAUUUUCCUCUUUCCUUUCAAGACCACCAAAUUCUGCUUAUCUUUGAUAGAAGCUCCUCGAUCACAAUCCUAAUUGUCCAAACCUACUUGUAAUCGCAAAUUUUCCAAAGUAUGUUGCGUUUGUAAUGCCCUAAAAAUAGGUCUACUAGUUUUGAGUAAGUUUAUCGGGUUCUGGGUGAAAGCUAGGAGUUAAUCGGGUUUACUACUCAUUUCUUUAAAAAAAAUUAGUUAGCUUAAUUUCAUUUAAAAAUUGGUAAAUAAUAUUCCGGAAAAUAACAAUAUUUUUAGAGAAAACAAUAUUAUGGUUUUAAAUAUUUUUUGGUAAAAAUAAAUAUUUUAUUGAAAAAUAAAUUAAAAUGGGGUUUAAUUGAGAGAAGUUACAAUAUUAACUAAAUAGGUAUAUAAUAUUCCGGAAAAUAAAAAUAUUUUUAGAAAAAAAUCACGAAUAUCAUGAAUGCUAAUACCCCCAUCCUUUUAGGCUGACACAAUUCCUUCCACGGGAGUAUCGCCCAAUAUUUUCCUCUUUCCUUUCCAGACGAUCAAAUUCUGCUUAUCUUUGAUAGAAGCUCCUCGAUCACAAUCCUAAUUGUCCAAACCUACUUGUAAUCACAAAUUUUCCAAAGAAUGUUGUGUUUGUGAAGCCCUAAAAAUAAGUCUACUAGUUUUGACUAAGUUUAUCGGUUCUGGGUGAAAACUAGGAGUUAACCGGGUUUCCUAGUCAUUUCUUUAAAAAAAAUAGUUAGCUUCAUUUCAUUUAAAAAUUGGUAAAUAAUAUUCCGGAAUAUAAAAAUAUUUUUAGAGAAAUCAAUUUCAUGGUUUUAAAUAUUUUUUGGUUAAAAAAAUAUUUUAUUGAAAAAUAAAUUAAAAUGGGGUUUCAUUAAGAAAAGUUACAAUAUUAACUAAAGAGGUAUAUAAUAUUCCAGAAAAUUCAAAUAUUUUUAGAAAAAUAUCACGAAUAUCAUGAAUACUAAUACCCCCAUCCUUUUAGGUUCACACAAAUUCUUCCACGGGAGUAUCCCUCAAUAUUUUCCUCUUUCCUUUCCAGACCAUCAAAUUCUGCUUAUCUUUGAUAGAAGCUCCUCGAUCACUAUCCUAAUUGUCCAAACCUACUUGUAAUCGCAAAUUUUCCAUAGUAUGUUGUGUUUGUAAUGCCCUGAAAAUAGGUCUACUAGUUUUGAGUAAGUUUAUCGGGUUCCGGGUGAAAGCUAGGAGUUAAUUGGGUUUACUAGUCAUUUCUUUAAAAAAAAUUAGUUAGCUUAAUUUCAUUUAAAAAUUAGUAAAUAAUAUUCCGGAAAAUAAAAAUAUUUUUAGAGAAAUCAAUUUUAUGGUUUUAAAUAUUUUUUGGUUAAAAAAUAUUUUACUGAAAAAUAAAUUAAAAUGGGGUUUCAUUGAGAGAAGUUACAAUAUUAACUAAAGAGGUAUACAAUAUUCCGGAAAAAAAUAUUUUUAGAAAAAUAUCAGGAAUAUAAUGAAUACUAAUACCCCCAUCCUUUUAGGCUCACACAAAUUCUUCCACGGGAGUAUCCCCCAAUAUUUUUCUCUUUCCUUUCUGGACCACUAAAUUCUGCUUAUCUUUGAUAGAAGCUCCUCGAUCACAAUCCUAAUUGUCCAAACCUACUUCUAAUCGCAAAUUUUCCAAAGUAUGUUAUGUUUGUAACACCCUAAAAAUAGGUCUACUAGUUUUGAGUAAGUUUAUCGGGUUCCGGGUGAAAGCUAGGAGUUAAUCGGGUUUACUAGUCAUUUUUUUAAAAAAAAUAGUUAGCUUAAUUUCAUUUAAAAAUCGGUAAAUAAUAUUCCGGAAAAUAACAAUAUUUUUAGAGAAAUCAAUUUCAUGGUUUUAAAUAUUUUCGGUUAAAAUAAAUAUUUUAUUGAAAAAUAAAUUAAAAUGGGGUUUCAUUGAGUGAAGUUACAAUAUUAACUAAAUAGGUAUAUAAUAUUCUGGAAAAUAAAAAUAUUUUAAAAAAAAUAUCACGAAUAUCAUGAAUACUAAUACCCCAUCCUUUUAGGCUGACACAAAUUCUUCCACGGGAGUAUCGCCCAAUAUUUUCCUCUUUCCUUUCCAGACCACCAAAUUCUGCUUAUUUUUUAUAGAAGCUCCUCAAUCACAAUCCUAAUUGUCCAAACCUACUUGUAAUCUUAAAUUUUCCAAAGUAUGUUGUGUUUGUAAUGCCCUAAAAAUAGGUCUACUAGUUUUGAGUAAGUUUAUCGGGUUCCGGGUGAAAGCUAUGAGUUAAUCGGGUUUACAAGUCAUUUUUUAAAAAAAAUUAGUUAGCUUAAUUUCAUGUGAAAAUCGGUAAAUAAUAUUCCGGAAUAUAAAAAUAUAUUUAGAGAAAUCAAUUUUAUGGUUUUAAAUAUUUUUUGGUUAAAAAAAUAUUUUAUUGAAAAAUAAAUUAAAAUGGGGUUUAAUUGAGAGAAGUUACAAUAUUAACUAAAUAGGUAUAUAAUAUUCCGAAAAAUAAAUUUUUUUUUUAAAAAUAUCACGAAUAUCAUGAAUACUAAUACCCCUAUCCUUUUAGGCUGACACAAAUUCUUCCACGGGAGUAUCGCCCAAUAGUUUCUUCUUUCCUUUCCAGAACACCAAAUUCUGCUUAUCUUUGAUAGAAGCUCCUCGAUCACAAUCCUAAUUGUCCAAACCUACUUCUAAUCGCAAACUUUCCAAAGUAUGUUGUAACACCCCGAAUUUGGGCCUAGAAGUAUUGGGCCUUGAGUGUGGGUCCGUAAGGAGGUUGUAUAUAGGUAUUUAAUUGUGCAAUGAAAUGACACAAUUAAAUGUCUGCUUUGGUGGUUAAUGACCCUGAGAAGUGUUAGAGAAAUCUUGGGUUCAAACUUGGGCUUUAGCAAAAAUUUUGGUAUUAAGAGAAAAAAAACCUGGAUGCUUGGAUGAGGGCUUUUAAAUUAUUGUGUUAAAUAAAUGACACAAGGAAGCUUGUAGUCUAGUGGUUGUGGCAUCAUUAAGGUUGUAUGGGAGCCUGGGUUCUCAAGCCUUGGCUCUUGCAAUUUAUUUUGGUUUUUUUAAGGGAACCUAGACUUUGGCCUUUAGACCUUAUAAUUAAUUGCGGAUAAAAUAUCACACAAAAAGCCUUGUGGCUUAGUGGCAAGUAGCGUGUGGAGCAUUUGAGGGGAGGCAUGGGUUCAAAUCCCAUGGCAAGCAAGAAGCAUUUAUUUUGCUAACAGGGGGCGGCAAGAGUUGGUGUUGAAUUUAGACUCUGAUGUUGGAGGGAUCCCACAUCGGGAAACUAACAUAAGAGUGGAUGCGAAGCUGGCUUUAAAUAGAAGGAACCAUGAGGAGAGUAAAGGUACCUUUCUUGGCUGAUCCCUUUCGCUGUAUGGCAUGCUCAUUUGGGUUCGGCGUCAGCUAAGAGUGCUCGGAGCGUGGAUUAACUCUAGUCUCCUAUCAGGUGUGUAUUUCUCACUACUCUAGUUGUAGGAUGGCUACUUCGGGCCGAAAAGGGCUAUGUGGGCCCAAUGGGCCUACGGGCCCAAUUGGAUAAGUUGUUUGACUGCGUAGUAAAUAUUGGACUAGGCUAGGUGAAUCUCAUAUCUAUGGCUAGAUUUGGGCUAAAAGGGCCACGCGAGCGUGUGGGCCCAUUUGGGCCGAGAAUGGGUUUUAGGGCCAUUAGUAUUGUUAUCCAUGUUUAGAAUACUUUAGUUUACUAAAUUACUGAAAUACCCUUGACUUGUAAAAUUACCAAAGUACCCUCGAUUUAUAGAAUUAUCGUUUUACCCUCGAUUUACAAAAUUACUAUUUUACCCUCAGUUUACAAAAUUAUCGUUUUACGCUCGAUUGUGAAAUUACUAAAAUACCCCUGUAAGAUAGAAUUACCAAAAUAUCACUGGUUUGAGAAAUUACCGAAAUACCCCCAAUUUGUAAAAUUACCAAAAUACCCCUAAUUUACAAAAUUACAGAAAUACCCUUGACUUUUUUAAAAAUUAUAGGAAUACCAUUGGUUUACAAAAUUACUAAAAUACCCUUGGUUUGUAGAUUUACCAAAACACCCUUGUAGGAUGAAAUGACUAAAAUACACCUAAUAGGUAAAAAGACCGUAAAGCCCCUAUCGGGUAAAGUGACCGUAAUACCCUUGUAUGGUAAAAUGAUGAAUACGCCCUUAUGUUCCGUAUGACUGAUGUGCUUAGGAUUUACAUAUAUUGAUAUUCGAAUAGUUAAGUUUGAGUGACAGGUGGUGGUUAUCGUAGUUGAUUGAUUAUGGAAACGUUUCAACUUUAACCCGUAACAGGUGUGUACUAACCCUCGUAAUAGCUUAGAUUAAUAUUUGCUGAGAAGCCAAAAUGCUAAAAUACCGGUAUUUCGGGAACUUGUUAUGUUGCGUUUGGGUAUAAAUGCGAUAAAUACGAUAAGAUCGGUGUUUGGAUCGAUGGAACAGGUAAGAGCACAAUUUUGUGCACGAUGGUAAGUUGGGCCUCAAUGGGCUGAAAUUGGGCCCAAUGGGCUUUUGGGCCCAUUUGGGUAAAAUUGAUAAAAAAAUGGAAUUUGGAAAAGUUGCACGUUAACACGGUUAGUAUUGUUGUAAAAUUUGGGUUAAGUAGGCUAAAUCAGCAUUCGUAGGGCCCAUUAGGGGUUUUGGGCCCAAAAGCCUGAAUUUGAUAAAGUGGGUUAAAGAUCAUUGUUUAAACACUCAGAAAUAUUGACAAUUGUAAUAAACACGGAAAACCCUGAUAUUUGGUAAAAUUACGAAAAAUACCCUUAUAAUAUGAAAAAUGACUGUUUUUCCGUUGUGGGCAAGUGACUGACUUGGACUGUGUGGUUGACGAAUUUGAUUGUGAAUAUAUGUUGGUGAUAUGAGUGACUUGACUGUGAUGGUUUGAUUCAAAUAUGGGCAUGACGUUCUGCAUACAUGACAUAUUGCAUGGGAUAUGGGUUAUAUUGAUGGAGGAAGUGCUAAAAGGGCUCUGCCCCAGUUUACCGAAAAGGGAUCUGCCACAGUUUAUCAAAAAGGGCUUUGCCCCAGUUAUUAAAAGAGGCUAGGCCUCCAGUUAUAUGAUAAAGCAGCUAUGCUGCCAGUGGAGAGUUUGGUUGGGUGGGUUGAGUUAUUCCCUCCAUGGAGAGCUUGGUUGGUACGGGUGGAGAGUAGCGGAUGGUGGGUUGAGUAGUCUCCCCAAAUGGGCUUGCAUACAUUCAUUGGUAUUUCAUGUGAUAUUGAAAUGGGCUUGCAUACAUCUAUUGACAUUACAUGUGAUAUUGAAAUGGGCCUAAGGGCCAUACCGUUUACAAUAAAGGCUUCGGCCCAGUGAUAUGAUUUAUGAAAAGGCUUCGGCCCAGUGAUUUGAUUUAUGAAAAGGCUUCGGCCCAGUGAUUUGAUUUAUGAAAAGGCUUCGACCCAGUAACCGUUAAACGAAAGGCUUCGGCCCAGUAUAUGUCAAGACUAAAUAGGGCUUUGGCCCAGAUUGUACCGAUAUUGUGUUUUCACUGUUUGUUUGUUAUUGGGAUUACACACUGAGUUUUCGUAAACUCACACUGUUUCUAACUGUGCAGGUAACCCCUAAGCUUAGAUGGUUUGGAGCUGCGAGGGACUCGAAGAUGGCCACACUACUGUUUCUGUUUCUUUUAAUUGCAAUAAGUAGCCGAUUUAUUUCUUUAUAAGUUUUAUCUUAUUAAUAUUAUUAUUUGGUUUGGGUUGUAAUAGGGUCAUUUUAACUAUUUUUUUGGGAUUAUUUUAUUUUAUACCUUAUAUUUUUCUGAUAACAAUAUGAGUUAGACCUAGGGCGCGUUUCCAAAAUGAUAAUUGUUUUCAAAAUAACGCAACGAUACAAUUAAUCGGUUUAUCAAAAAUAUCUACUUAAAUGAAUUCCAACUCGUUUUUCUCAAAACCUAACCUAGCACCAAAAUGUGGCAAUGGUUGUGGGCAUGUCUAGGAUUGGAUCCAAUCAAAAACUUGGUACUUAAGCAGCCUUCAUGGCUCACCUCCUCUGUUUCGGAUACCUACCUGGUGCACAGCUUCCAUUCACUUUAUUAACUUAGCAAAGGCUAUCUUUUAGAACACUAAGAAGGACGUUGAAAGAGGCAUGGAUUUUCUUAAAAACUUCAAUGUGACACGUCGGAUCUGGCCAUAACGUCUGGGCCGGGUUUGGGGUGUUACAUAUGUUGUGUUUGUAAAGCCCUAAAAAUAUGUCUACUAGUUUUGGGUAAGUUUAUCGGGUUCCGAGCGAAAGCUAGGAGUUAAUCGGGUUUACUAGUAAUUUCUUUAAAAAAAUUAGUUAGCUUAAUUUAAUUUAAAAAUCGGUAAAUAAUAUUCCGGAAUAUAAAAAUAUUUUUAGAGAAAUCAAUUUUAUGGUUUUAAAUAUUUUUUGGUUAAAAUAAAUAUUUUAUUGAAAAAUAAAGUAAAAUGUUUUUUCAUUGAGAGAAGUUACAAUAUUAACUAAAUAGGUAUAUAAUAUUACGGAAAAUAAAAAUAUUUUUAAAAAAAUAUCACGAAUAUCAUGAAUACUAAUACCCCAAUCCUUUUAGGCUGACACAAAUUCUUCCACGGGAGUAUCGCCCAAUAUUUUCCUCUUUCCAUUCCAGACCACCAAAUUCUGCUUAUCUUUGAUAGAAGCUCCUCGAUCACAAUCCUAAUUGUCCAAACCUACUUGUAAUUACAAAUUUUCCAAAGUAUGUUGUGUUUAUAACGCCCUAAAAAUAGGUCUACUAGUUUUGAGUAAGUUUACUGGGUUACGGGUGAAAGCUAGGAGUUAAUCGGGUUUACUACUCAUUUCUUUAAAAAAAUUAAUUAGCUUAAUUUCAUUUAAAAAUCUGUAAAUAAUAUUCCGGAAAAUAAAAAUAUUUUUUGAGAAAUCAAUUUUAUGGUUUUAAUUUGUUUUGGUUAAAAUAAAUAUUUCAUUGAAAAAAAAAUUAAAAUGGGGUUUCAUUAAGAGAAGUUACAAUAUUAACUAAAUAGGUAUAUAAUAUUCCGGAAAUUAAAAAUAUUUUUAGAAAAAUAUCAUGAACAUCAUGAAUACUAAUACCCCAUCCUUUUAGGCUGACACAAAUUCUUCCAAGCGAGUAUCGCCCAAUAUUUUUCUCUUUCCUUUCCAGACCACCAAAUUUUGCUUAUCUUUGAUAGAAGCUCCUCGAUCACAAUCCUAAUUGUCCAAACCUACUUGUAAUCACAAAUUUUCCAAAGUAUGUAGUGUUUGUAAUGCCUUAAAAAUAGGUCUACUAGUUUUGCGUAAGUUUAUCGGGUUCCGGGUAAAUGCUAGGAGUUAAUCGGGUUUACUACUCAUUUCUUUAAAAAAAAAAUUAGUUAGCUUAAUUUCAUUUAAAAAUCGAUAAAUAAUAUUCCAGAAAAUAAAAAUAUAUUUAGAGAAAUAAAUUUUAUGGUUUUAAAUAUUUUUUGGUUAAAAUAAAUAUUUUAUUCAAAAAUAAAUUAAACUAGGGUUUCAUUGAGAGAAUUACAAUAUUAACUAAAUAGGUAUAUAAUAUUCCAGAAAAUAAAAAUAUUUUUAGAAAGAUAUCACGAAUAUCAUGAAUACUAAUACCCCCAUCCUUUUAGGCUGACACAAAUUCUUCCAAGGGAGUAUCGCCCAAUAUUUUUCUCUUUCCUUUCCAGACCACCAAAUUCUGCUUAUCUUUGAUAGAAGCUCCUAGAUCACAAUCCUAAUUGUCUAAACCUUCUUGUAAUAGCAAAUUUUCCAAUGUAUGUUGUGUUUGUAACGCCCUAAAAAUAGGUCUACUAGUUUUGAGUAAGUUUAUCGGGCUCUGUGUGAAAACUAGGAGUUAAUCAGGUUUACUAGUCAUUCCUUUAAAAAAAAUUAGUUAGCUUAAUUUCAUUUAAAAAUCGGUAAAUAAUAUUUCGGAAAAUAAAAAUAUUUUUAGAGAAAUCAAUUUUAUAGUUUUAAAUAUUUUUGGUUAAAAUAAAUAUUUUAUUGAAAAUUAAAUUAAAAUGGAGUUUCAUUGAGAGAAGUUACAAUAUUAACUAAAUAGAUAUAUAAUAUUCCGGAAAAUAAAAUAUUUUUAGAAAAAUAUAACGAAUAUCAUGAAUACUAAUACCCCCAUCCUUUUAGGCUAACACAAGUUCUUCCACGGGAGUAUCGACCAAUAUUUUUCUCUUUCCUUUUCAGACCACCAAAUUCUGCUUAUCUUUGAUAGAAGCUCCUCGAUCACAAUCCUAAUUGUCCAAACCUACUUGUAAUCACAAAUUUUCCAAAGAAUGUUGUGUUUGUAAAGCCCUAAAAAUUGGUCUACUAGUUUUGAGUAAUUUUAUCGGGUUCCGGGUGAAAGCUAGGAGUUAAUCGGGAUUACUAGUCAUUUUUUUAAAAAAAAUUAGUUAGCUUAAUUUCAUUUAAAAAUCAGUAAAAAAUAUUCCAGAAGAUAAAAAUAUUUUUAGAGAUAUCAAUUCUAUGGUUUUAAAUAUUUUUUGGUUAAAAUAAAUAUUUUAUUGAAAAUUAAAUUAAAAUGGGGUUUCAUUGAGAGAAGUUACAAUAUUAACUAAAUUGGUAUAUAAUAUUCCUGAAAAUAAAAAUAUUUUUAGAAAAAUAUCACGAAUAUCAGGAAUACUAAUACCCCCGUCCUUUUAGGCUCACACAAAUUCUUCCAAGGGAGUAUCGCCCAAUAUUUUCCUCUUUCCUUUCUAGACCACCAAAUUCUGCUUAUCUUUGAUAGAAGCUCCUCGAUCACAAUCCUAAUUGUCCAAACCUACUUGUAAUCAUAAAUUUUCCAUAGUAUGUUGUGUUUGUAACGCCCUGAAAAUAGGUCGACUAGUUUUGAGUAAGUUUACCGGGUUCCGGGUUAAAGCUAGGAGUUAAUCGGGUUUACUAGUCAUUUCUUUAAAAAAAAUAGUUAGCUUAAUUUCAUUUAAAAAUUGGUAAAUAAUAUUCCAGAAAAUUAAAAUAUUUUUAGAGAAAUCAAUUUUAUGGUUUUAAAUAUUUUUUGGUUAAAAAAAUAUUUUAUUGAAAAAUAAAUUAAAAUGGGGUUUCAUUGAGAGAAGUUACAAUAUUAACUAAAGAGUUAUAUAAUAUUCCGGAAAGUAAAAAUAUUUUUAGAAAAGUAUCACGAAUAUGUUGAAUACUAAUACCCCCAUCCUUUUAGGUUGACACAAAUUCUUCCACGGGAGUAUCCCCCAAUAUUUUUCUCUUUCCUUUCCAGACUACCAAAUUCUGCUUAUCUUUGAUAGAAGCUCCUCGAUCACAAUCCUAAUUGUCCAAACCUACUUGUAAUCGCAAAUUUUCUAAAGUAUGUUGUGUUUGUAACUCCCUAAAAAUAGGUCUACUAGUUUUGAGUAAGUGUAUCGGGUUACGGGUGAAAGCUAGGAGUUAAUCGGGUUUACUAGUUAUUUCUUUAAAAAAAAUUAGUUAGCUUAAUUUCAUUUAAAAAUUGGUAAAUUAUAUUACAGAAAAUAAAAAUAUUUUUAGAGAAAUCAAUUUUAUGGUUUUAAAUAUUUUUUGGUUAAAUAAAUAAUUUAUUGAAAAAUAAAUUAAAAUGGGGUUUCAUUGAGAGAAGUUGCAAUAUUAACUAAUUAGGUAUAUAAAAUUACGGAAAAUAAAAAUAUUUUUAGAAAAAUAUCACGAAUAUCAUGAAUACUAAUACCCCCAUCCUUUUAGGCUGACACAAAUUCUUCCACGGGAGUAUCGCCCAAUAUUUUCUUCUUUCCUUUCCAGACCACCAAAUUCUGCAUAUUUUUUAUAGAAGCCCCUCGAUCACAAUCUUAAUUGUCCAAACCUACUUGUAAUCGCAAAUUUUCCAAAGUAUGUUGUGUUUGUAACGCCCUAAAAAUAGGUCUAGUAGUUUUGAGUAAGUUUAUCGGGUUCCGGGUGAAAGCUAGGAGUUAAUCGGGUUUACUAGUCAUUUUAAAAAAAAUAGUUAGCUUACUUUCGUUUAAAAAUCGGUAAAUAAUAUUCCGAAAAAUAAAAAUAUUUUUAGAUAAAUCAAUUUUAUGGAUUUAAAUAUUUUUUGGUUAAAAUAAAUAUUUUAUUGAAAAAUAAGUAAAAAUGAGGUUUAAUUGAGGGAAGUUACAAUAUUAACUAAAUAGGUAUAUAAUAUUCCGGAAAAUAAAAAUAUUUUUAGAAAAAUAUCACAAAUAUCAUGAAUACUAAUACCCCCAUCCUUUUAGGCUAACACAAAUUCUUCCACGGGAGUAUCGCCCAAUAUUUUCCUAUUAGUUACUACAUGAUGAAUUGAUGGUUGAAUAUGUCUUAAACUCAAUUAAUCCGUUGAAUUAAUGGUUUAUUUCUUCUAAGCAUCAUUUUGAAGACACCAAUGGUCAAAUGAUGAGCUCUUGUUUCUUAUUCUCAAGCUGAUCAUUCAGAUCUCCUAGCAGCAUUGAAAGCUUUCACACCAGUUGAAUAUUCCAUUCACACUUUAAGGCCAUUUGGUUUUGUGCUUUCACACCCAAGAGCUAUUCAACUCCAACUGUUCACUUCUGAAAACUGUUGAAGACCCCAAGCUGAAUUUUUUGGACUCAAAACCAUUCAGCUAAUCAAAGCAGCUCAAUUAAAGACUAUUAAAACACAUUGGCUGAAUUUAUCUAGUCAUUUCAGCUCACCGUUUCAUUUCAUUUAAUUUAAGCUCUUGAAGACAUCAAAGGGUUUCCCAUUGACAUCUCCAAAGCUCAAUGAAUUUUCAUGGAAUCUGCUAGGAAAUUACCAAGAAGCUUCAGCUCAUUUAAGCUAAAAUCAGUUGUCUAUUUAGCUACCUUUAUGCCUAUUCGGCUAGCCUAGGAAUGUAGCUAUAAAUACUUAGCUAUUUUCUAGUUGUAUAGGUUUUUCCUACUUGAAUGAAUUCUAAGUUAUUUGUGAGUAUUUCAACUCUCAAAUUUCGUUCAAGAAUCAGCUUGACUUAUCUACUUAGCUAGUGGCAUCAAUUUGUCUCUUCUAUCCGAACUUAUCACUUUCAAAGUGUGGCCUUUACCCUAAAUUGAUACCUCUGGUUCCUAUCUUCUUAGAUAGCGAGUUAAGGUCCUAUUUUUAUUCCCAACCCACCUUAAGAGUCUUAUAAGUCUUGGAUCAAUACUCUCUUUUAGUGUUGGUUCAUUCUUGACCCUUAAGUCCUAUUUCUAUUCCAUAACCACUAUCACCUUAAUUCCUUUGUCUUCUUUGUUAGCUGAACUAUCCUUUUUAUUUACUUAGCCCUUUUGAACCUAUUUUGUUAAUUAAAGUCUCUACUUAGCCAAAUUCAUCCUUUUUCUUCUAAUAGAACGAUACUUCUCAUUUUAAUGAUUGGGCAACUACACGACUCGAACACCUCAAUGAGGCCGUGGUCGUAUCAUAGGCCCCCACCAACAAUGCCACCAAGUACACUCAUUGUAAAAAAAUCAAUACCUUUUUUUAAUUAUCUUUAGAGGCAUCGAUGACUAUUAUUUAUUAAUGUUUUUGAAAAAAAUAAUCUUAUAUUCAUGAUGUGGUUCCUACAACAAGUAGGCAUUAAAUCUAUUCCCUAAAGGUAUAGAGGCCAAAGCAUAUAAAAUGCGAACCUAAGUGUAAAUAGAAAAUUAAAGCUUAAACAAAUUACCUAAAGCAUGGACAAAGUCUCCAUGUUGAAUAUUGAGUCUCACCACCCUAGUAAUGUGACAUAUUACAAUAAUCAUCGAGUCCUUAACAAUUACAAAAUUAUACUUUAGAUAUUGCUAAGAUUUGGGAAAAAAUUGAUCGUCACAUGUGGGUUGGGUUCUGUUAUGAAUUGUAAGUGUUUACAAAAGUAUACAUAGUCGUUCAAGUAAUAAGUAAGUAAAAAUGAGUUAUCAUCUCCACAGGGGCUGUAUAAGCUUAAACAAUUAAUUGCAAAAUUAUAAUUAAUAUAAGCUUAAACAAUUAAUUGCAAAAUUAUAAUUAACAAUUUGAUGUAAAAAAACUCAAUAAAUUUGGAUAGUGAUGAUUAGAAUAAUUAAAUGCAAGAGUGAUCCCUAAUGCAAUUUCUAAUCUACGUGCAAUUUACCUAAAUGAUGUGCUCAACUCUGCUCAGUUCAACAGCCUUUCGGAUUUAUUUUGACUAAUGUGCUCAACUCUACUUAGUUCAACAGCCUUUCAGAUUUAUUCUAACUGAUGUGCUCCGUUUUGAUUGAAGCUUCUUUUUGCUAAGGGUUUAGAAGGUAUCCAUCUAAAGAAUGCUUCAUUUUAGGCAGCCAACAUCAAGUGCCGAAAUUGGGUUUUUAAUUCCCCUUGUUGGAUGAUUUUUUUAGUCCAACAUCUUAGCAGAUUUCUAUCUUUUAUCACCUUAUUUAUUGGGUUAAGUAGUCAACCCCAUGCCCAAAAUUGCAUGGUCUUGCCGUCCACAUGGAUAAUAUGUGCGUGACCAUCUUUUAUUUAUUUAAAUCAUGUUUCCAAUGGACCUCUUACAUAAUGAAAGUACAUACAUUAAUAAAUUAACAUGAACUAAUACAAAAUAUGCAUGAAAAUCAUGUAAUUAAGCAUAAUUUCACAUACUUUCAAAAUUCAUGUCUAAAAUUACUAAUUAUGUAAAAUUCACUAAUUUCAAUAAUAAUUACUCAAGAUAAACAUAUUAAUUAAGUAAAAAGAUGGUAAAAACAUAUAGAAAUACCUUAUAUAAUUUUGAGUUUACACACUCUAAACUUAAACCAUUGCUUGUCCCAAGUAAUGUUCAUGCAUAAUACAAUUUUUGCUAAGGCAAUUUUGCAAAAUGAUAAAGCAGCAUCAAUCUUUACACAUAAUCAUGCUUCAAUAAAAUCAUGCUAAAAAAUAUUUUGAUACGAUCAUGCCCCGGAGUGCACCUAGCUCGAGCAAUGAUCCAUUGGAGCUACCCCAAGGCCCUAUCACACGAGCUCAAGCCAAGCUAUUUAAGGAGGCUAUUUCGGCCUUAGUCAAUAAAGUAUGGGGUGAAACGUUGGCCGGACAUAUUGAGAGAGCUUGGACCAGCUUAACAAAGACUCCUUGCAACCUCUUGCAAGUCGACCUCAGCUCACAUUCAGCUCCACGAGUUUAUCUUAGCUCAUUUCAGCUCGUUUCAGCUCCUACUUAUUUCUUUCUAGCUCAUUUGCUUAUUUGCUGGAAAAAAAUAAGUGUCUACUAUUAGAUAGUUAAAUUUGUUUCAGCUCAUUAAUACAUUUCUUAGCUCAUUAUAGCUCAUUAUAUGUGUUUAAUAUGUUUUGUGUUAGCCGAAUUAAUGUAUCAUGUUUUAUGUCAAUAUUUAAUUUGUUUUAGCUUAAUUAUGUGUUAUUAAUGUGUCCAAGUACAGCAUGAGUAUAUUUUGUCAUAAUUCAACCAAAUUAAAAUUUUCAUGAAUCAAUUUAAUGUGUUCAUUGAAUUUAUGUGCAGCUUAAUGCAUGAAGGAGAUUUAAUGCAGGGUGAAUGAAUAGCUGGCUACAAUGUAGGGAGAGAUAUAUGCAUGGACGGCUUCAAUGCAUGGUGUGCUGAUUAUUUGGCUCCUCCAAGCACCUUUUCAGCCAAAGGUUAGCUACACAUUUAAGCUCCCAAGUUGGCUGGUUAGCUUCCCCAAGCUGCUAGAAUGCUUUCACACCUACCCAAUUAAUCCAUUCACAUAAGAGAGCUGUUUGGUUUUCUGCAUUCACACAUGGAUGGCCCUUCAGGUUUGGUGUUCACAUUUCUAAUGCCUAUUGCACUCACCUAGCUGCCAAUUUAAUUCAUCCAUCCAUUCAACUGAUCAAGGCAAAGCAAUUAAGCUCAUUUAAGCUCAUGGCCGAACCUAGACAUGCCCAAUCAAUUUCCAAAUUCUUCCGAGUUCAUUCAGCUAAAUAUCCUUCAUCUAGAAGUUGUCUAAUGGCAUCCCAAAGGAUGAAUAUAGACAUGGAAUACUUAUGGUUUUGUUAUAGAACUUUUUAGCUCAUUUAAAGCUGAAAUACUUAUUCAUUAAGUCACUAAUGUACCUAUUCAACUAGCCUUAGGUUGUUUGUUAUUUUCUGAAUAUAGCCUUAGGUUUUUCCUAUAAAUACUUUGCUAUUUGCUAUUUGUAAGGAAUUUUUGCCAAUUUGAAUGAACAUUGAGUUGUUUGUGAGGUUUUCCUCUCUCAAAUGUCGUCAGAGACUCAGCUUGACUUAUCUACUAGUUAGUGGCGUCAACUUGAUUCUUCUUUCGAACUUAUCACUCUCGUAGUGUGGUGUUCAACCAACCUUAUACCUCUACGGGUCAAGGUCCCCUAUCUUUCAUCACUGAACCACCUUAAGUCAUAUAAGCCCCGGUUCAGCACUCUUGUUAGUGUUGGUUCGUCCUUGACACUUAGGUUCGAUUUCCAUCCCAUCCAAUUAUCAACUUUCCAUUUUAUUUUUUCUUUGGUAGCCGAACCUAAAUCCACAAACACCUAGCCAAUUCAAGCAUAUUCUUCAUUCUUAUUAUCCAUACUUAGCCAAUACAAACAUAUUUCAAGUUUGGAACAAUACUUCCUCAUUUGACGAUCGGGCAUCUAAAUGACUUAACUCAACAGACCGAGGCAAGAUCGUAUCAUAUUCUUUAUUCAUAAGUAGCUCGAAUCCUUACCCCCUUUAAAACAUAUUAACCCUAACUUUGUCUUAGAUCCUUUGGCGUCACAAAUUUCAUACAAAUGGGUCUUUGGAGUACCCUCAAACUUAUUUUAAACUUAUGCUCUACUUUUAUUUUUCUCAAACUUUGAGCAAACUUUGCUCUUUAUUCUUGAGACUAUGAGCACUCCUUUAUUUGCUCUUAUUUUUCUACAUUUGAGCAAACUUUUUCUUGCUUCUUUAUUUAUUUUCUUCUCUCUUAUUUUUUACAUGUGAAAAGCAUGUACAUCUUCUCAUAAUUUUCCUCAAAUUUUGAUCACCAAGACAAAUUUUUGGUUAAGAUAGGUGCAAAAGACAAGGAUAAAAAUAAAAAAGAUGUUAUUGUGGCUUAUAAUAUAGGUACUUUGCAAUAAACAGACCAUUAAGCUCAAAAAUUAAGUUCCAAGGGUUAAAUUUCAUAAGGCCGGCUUGAAAGGCUCAAAAGAUCCAAAGAAAGUGUACCUAUAUCAUUUUGUAGUCUUAUACUUCCUAAGAUUUUGCUUCAAGAAAUAAGCACUUCCGAUCUUGUUUCUAGCACAAUAAUGAAUCUCUUUAAGAAUAAUAUUCCCAACAUUGAUGGAAUUUUUUGUCAUAAUUGCAUACAACAAAAGUAUUCGCUCCAUCGAGAUGGUGGAACUAUAUGAGAUAGGCAUGAAACUAUAUCGAACAAAGUAAAACCAUACCUUAACUAAUGGUUUUAAAUAUUCAUUCGGUAAGAAUGACUACCAUACUUUCUUAUAAUCCAUUGGGAUCUCGGAUUUGUCACAACAUUAAGAACUUGUUGAAAAAAAAUCCAAAUUUAUGUUUGUCAUCAUGUCAAAAUACUCAUCUUCUUCAACAUCAGGUAGAUUAAUCAAAUCAUUAAUGGGCUUAGAAGUUAGUGGUACCUUCUUGUUGUAAACAAUAACUUCAGUAGCAUUUGACUUAGUGAAAUUUGCAUAGAACUCUCAAACUAAUUCCAAUUGAAGGCAUCAAUCAUCCUUUGAAUCGGUAACGGCAGAACCAUCUUAUCACUGUUCUCUAAGUUGAAACCUUUUUCUGGUAUCAUAGUUUGACUCUUUGAAGAUUGAAUCAAACCUUUCUUUCACUUCUUCAUAUUGAAUCAAAAUGGGAUUUUUGGCAGAGGUCUUGGAAGAUCUAGUCCUUUUGUGAGAUGUAGAAAUUUUCCCCGAAAAAUAAGCAAAAUUUCGGCAAAGAAUUGAAAAAAAUACAAUUAGCAAAAGAUGAGAGCAAGGAGUUGUGGCAACAAUCGAUUUACUGCAGCAAUGAGCUUGCGAUAGCGUGAAGCUUGCUACGGCAAUAGGAUGCGGUGGUGAAGGGGCUGCUCUGGCAAAAGUCAUGCGGUCGCAAUAUUAGGGGCUUGCGACUAGGAAGAAAAUUAGGGAGAUAUUUCAGGAUUUAGGCUGACGGCUAAGAGGGGCAUGAAUGGAUGUAAAAUACCUUGAAGGGUUGUAAAAAUUAUGGAGGUAGAGAGGGUUUAUAUGGUGACGAAUUAGGGCAAAUUUUUAGCUAAAAUUUAGUUAAUUUAAGUGACUUGGACGGUAAGGUAGUCUUGUAGCUAAAAUUUAGCUAAUUUUUGAGUGGCUUGGGCAACAAGUAAGAUGGAGGGAUGAUAUGGUGGCAAAAAUUAGGGCUUUAGAGAAUCCUAUGGAUGAUAACAUGGGUUAAAUUUCUUCUUUUUGUUGUUUCAGGCCAUGAGCCCAAACUUUUUUCAAAAAUUGGAUUGCUUAAAAAUAAACCAACUUAUUAGUACUUCAGCCAAUUUGACCCCCUUAAUUAAAAUAAAUAAAACUAACAUUAUAAUUAAAAAGAAAGAUUAAAAUUAAAAUUAAAGACAAAUAUAAAAAUGAGAAAUAAAAAUAAAACUAAGAAAAGAUUAAAAUGAAUUAGAAAUAGAAAGAUUAAGGGCCUCUUAAUUUGAACGAGGUUUUAAUUCGCUCAACUUCACCAUCCCAAUAGUGCUUGAGACGUUCACCAUUAACUUUAAACGUACUUCCAUGGUUUUCGUACAAUUGUACAACUCCAUAUGGAUAAACUUUGUAGAUGAUAUAAAGUACUUUUCAUUGGGAUUUGAGCUUUUCAGGAAAUAACCUUAGCCUCAAAUUAAAAAACAACACUUUUUGACCUUCUUUGUACUCAUGAGGUUGAAUAUGGCUGUCAUACCAUUUUUUAUAUUUUUCCUUACACAUCUUAGCAUUCUCGUACAAAAAUAACCUCAACUCCUCCAACUCAUCAAGUUGUAACAUACUUCUCUCACUAGCGUGGUUAAGAUCAAAAUUCAAUUGCUUAAAAGCCUAGUGAGCUUUAUUCUCCAAUUCAAGUGGUAAAUGACAUGCCUUUCCAAACACUAGCCGAUAGGGAGUCAUCCUUAAUGCUGUCUUAAAAGCAGUUCGAUAGGCCUAUAGUUCAUUAUCGAGCCUUCGAGACCAAUUUGUUCUUUUAAGACGCACUACUAUUUCAAGAAUACUUUGAUUUCUUGAUUCACCCUUUGAACUUUCCCAUUCAAUUGUGGGUGAUAGGCAGUGGAAAUCUUAUGAUUUACAUUGUACUUGUAAAGCAACCACUUAAGCCACUUAUUUACAAUUUGAGAUCCUUCAUUGCUAAUUAUAGCUCUAGGAGUCUGAUCGCAUGAUUUCGUGAUAGGUUUUAAAUAUUUAUAAUUACUCGUUCUUGAACUAACUAUUAUCGCGACGUAGGCAAGUGUACCUAUCGAACAGUAGUAUAGUUUUAGCAAGACCGGAUUGUCGAACCCAAAGGAACUAAAAGUACUAGUAAUGACUGUCUUUUUAUUAUCUAGCCUAAGAAUAGAGGGGUUUUGUUUUAGUUAACUAAUUAUCUAAACUAAGAACUCACAAAGAAAAGAAUUGGGGAAUUUCUUUUGGGAAAAUCGAUUGAAUGAAGGGAAUACCUAAGGAAAAAUCCACCUAGACUGUACUUGUUAUUCUGGCUCUGAAUCGGACGAUUUAUUCCUUCAACUUGUUCCAUAGAUAUCCCUAAGUUAUGUUAUUAUCCCUAUUCAAGACUAAUAACGUCUAAUCCCUAGAUUGAAUAACCGAGACUUUUAUCUAAUUAACACUCUAGGGUUCCAUUAACUCGAUCUAUGGAUCCUCUUAUUAGGUUUCACCCUAAUCCGACAAAAUCUUGUCACCCUAUGUCUAAGCCCGCAAUCAACUCCGCUUAAUUAUGACAAGUGUACUCUUAAACAGGGUCUAUUCCUCCUCUGAAUAAGAGCUUAUCUUGAAUUAGUAUCCUGGGAUAUCAAAACAAGAAUUAAGAACACAUAAUUAAGAACAAGUUAAAUAUUUAUCAUACGAUUCAGAAAAUAAUAACAAGAUUCAUCUUAAGUUUCCCUUAGGUAUUUAGGGGUUUUAGUUCAUAACUAAAUAAGAAAACAUCUCAGAAUAAUAAAGAAUACAAAACAUAAAGAAAACCCAAAACUCCUAAAGGGAAUUUGAGGAGAGAUCUUUAGUCUUCAGUCUUGAUGAUGAACCCGGCUUCUGAGAUGGAUCAAUCGGCUUCCUUGGAGUAAUUCCUUACUCCUUAUUCUCCGUGUCUCUUUUCUUCCUCCUCUAGGGUGUAUUUAUAGGCUUUGGAAUGCCUAGGAGCCCUCAAACUUAGCCUUUUCUGAAUUGGACUCAACUUGGGGUCGGCAGGGACACGCCUGUGUAACACGCCCGUGUUCGAUUACUUUAGGCCAUGUUCGAGCCUGCCAAAUUGACAUGGCCGUGUGGUUUUCCCGUGUGAGGAGGUCCAGGCUUUGUUGAUUUCAUAGUUUGGCCCAUUGUCUCUAUUUUUGGCCCGUUUCUCGUUCCUUUCACUCUCCUAUGCUCACCUAAGUAUAAAACAUGAAAUUAAAGCAUUAGGAGCAUCGAAUUCACCAAUUUUAAUGGGAAAUCAUCCAUAAAAUGCAUUAAACAUGGGGUAAAAAUAUGUAUAAUUUACGAUUUAUUAGAGUUGCUUAUGUAAAAAUCCCAUGACUACUUUAACGUCAUUAGUUGGGUAUGCUUCGGCUUCAAUCCACUUGAAUACGUAAUCCACAACUACCAAAAUAAACUUAUUACCAUAUGAAGAAGGAAAUAGGCCUAAAAAAUCAAUGCCCCAUACAUCGAGAAAUUCUAUCUCUAAAAUAUUCAUUAAGGGCAUCUCGUUCCUUCUUGGUAUGUUUCCAGUUCUUUGGCAUCUAUCACAGUUUCUCACAAAUGCAUAAACAUCCUUGAACAAUGUAGGCCAAAAGAACCCAGUUUGUAAAAUCUAUGUUGUAAUUUGUGAACCACCAGAGUGUUCCCUACUCGAAGAUGAACGAAAGUGGUACAAAAUGUCUCCAAUAGACCUCCUACAUAGUGAAAAGUACAUAUAUCAAUAAAUUAACAUGAAUUAUUAUUAUUCGAUGAAAUUAUUUGAUCUGCAAAAUGUGUUUUCGAGCAUCGAAGUGCGUCUCAUUAUUAUUCGAUGAAAACGCGUCUUCAGAAAUGCAUUUUGAAGCAUGCAUUUCUUCUCUCCUUGUUCUACUUUGUUAUUGAAGUACUGAAAUAUUCAGAACUUAGACACGUAGCAAAUUCAUAUCAAACAUUCAAGAGUUGCACUACAAGUGUGGUCUACAUUUCUUUGGAUAACCAUUUGAAGAUUUUUAUAUGACACAUGAAUUCACGGCUAACUUGGCCCAGCUCAAUUACAAGAUGAUAUGAGUUGAUAUGUACUAGUACAGGUAUUUAUGUGAAUCACUUAGAAAUGGUAUUCAAAGCCUAGUGAGCUUUAUUCUCCAAUUCAAGUGUUAAAUGACAUGCCUUUCCAAACACUAGCCAAUAGGGAGUCAUCCUUAAUGCUGUCUUAUAAGCAGUUCGAUAGGCCUAUAGUGCAUUAUCGAGCCUUCGAGACCAAUUUUUUUCUUUUAGGAUGCAUUACUAUUUCAAGAAUACUUUGAUUUCUUGAUUCACCCUUUGAACUUUCGCAUUCAAUUGUGGGUGAUAGGCAGUGGCAUUCUUAUGAUUUACAUCGUACUUGUAAAGUAACCACUUGAGCCAUUUAUUUACAAUUUGAGAUCAUUCAUUACUAAUUAUAGCUUUAAGAGUCCCAAACUGUGUAAAUACGUGCUUAUGUAAGAAUCGCAUGACUACCUUAACGUCAUUAGUUGGGUAUGCUUCGACUUCAACCCACUUGAAUUCGUAAUCCACUACUACCAAAAUAAACUUAUUACCAUAUGAAGAAGGAAAUAGGCCUAGAAAAUCAAUGCCUCAUACAUCGAGAAAUUCUAUCUCUAAAAUAUUCAUUAAGGGCAUCUCGUUCCUUCUUGGUAUGUUUCCAGUGCUUUGGCAUCUAUCACAGUUUCUCACAUAUGCAUAAACGUCCUUGAACAAUGUAUGCCAAAAGAACCCAGUUUGUAAAAUCUAUGUUGCAAUUCGUGAACCACCAAAGUGUCCCCUACACAAAGAUGAACGAAAGUGGUACAAAAUGCCUCCAAUGAACCUCCUACAUAGUGAAAAUUACAUAUAUCAAUAAAUUAACAUGAAUUAUUAUUCGAUGAAAUUAUUUGAUCUGUGAAAUGCAUUUUUGAGCAUCGAAGUGCGUUUCAUUAUUAUUAUUCGAUGAAAACGCGUCUUCAAAAAUGCAUUUUGAAGUGUGCAUUUCUUCUCUCCUUGUUCUAUUUUGUUAUUAAAGUAUUCAAAUUUUUAGAACUUAGACACGUAGCAAAUUCAUAUCAAACAUUGAAGAGUUGCACUGCAAGUGUGGUCUACAUUUCUUUGGAUAACCAUCUGAUGAUUUUUUAUAUGAUAAAUGAAUUUACGGCUAACUUGGCACAGUUCAAUUACGAGAUGAUAUGAGUUGAUACGAAGUAGUACAUGUAUUUAUGUGAAUCACUUGGAAAUGGUAUUUAUAUGACAAAUGAAUUCAUGACUCACUUGGUUGAUGGAUAUGUGUUAGGCUUUUUGGGCCAAAUUGAAUUGUGUGAUGCCUUAAUUUACUUGCCAAAAUUGUUGUUGAAUGUUAAGUUAUAUUUUUUGUUAUACGAACUUACUAAGCUUAAAUGCUUACUCUGUGUUAUUUUCUGUGUUUUUUAGUGGUUCAGAAGCUCUUUCGGAUUGAAUGUUGUUGGAGAUUACAUCACACUAUCAAUUGCUUAUUUUGGUACUUUUGGUUAUAUAUUUUAGUUUUAAUGGCAUGUAUAGGUCAUUUUGGCUAAUUGUAGUGUAAUAGCCCAUUUUUCCCGGCCCAAUCCAGUAUUUAAAAUAAUAAACCCCCAAAAAAUAAAAAUAAAACAAAGUCCAAGUCCAGUACAAAAUUACAAACAUAUAAUUUGGCCCAAUUGGAAUGGACCAUUACUUGAAAAGAUUUAAGGUCCAUCUAUAAGCUUGACUCAUAUGGAAAUAUAAUCUUUAAGGAUAUGCAAUCUUAGAUAUGAUAUGCAAUCUUAGAUAUGAUACAAUCUUAGAUAUGAUAUGCAAUCUUAGAUAUGAUAUGUAAUCUUGAAGAUAUGAUCUUGUAAUCUUGGAGAUUUAAUUUGUAGAUAUCCUUUAAUCUUAACCAUUGAUGUAAUUGAUCUGUACCGUUGGAUUUGGGGAGGCUCAACUAUAAAUAGAGGCCUCUCCCUUCAUUGUAAAUCACUUGAGUUUUGGGAAGCAAUAAGAAUUCUUGAGAGCAUUCACUCAAAUUUCUCUCCCUCUAGCGUUCUUACUCUCUGUGAUUUGUUCUUAUUUUAUUCUUCGUCUAUCUUAGUUUUUCAACCCUUUUUUUUAUUUUAAUUUCUUCAUUUUUCAAAUAUGUAUAUUUAUUCCUAUCUUUUAUACAUUUGAUUAUGUAUUUUACAUAUUAUAAUAUUUAACCUUUUUAUAUAGUUUAUUUUCAAAUAUAUAUUUUCUGUGCAUGUAUAUAUAUUAUAUUAUCAUUUCAUGUAUUUUGAACUAUUGCAUUGUAUUUUUAUAAUUUGUAAAUGUUCUAUUUAUUCAUUUUUUUAGUGUAUGUCAUUUAUCUUAUUUGUGCAUAGUUUCAUUUUUUUAUAUGCUAUGUUUAAUUAUUUCUUUUAUGUGCUAUUUUAUGAUAUAUAUUGUUGUAUAAUUUUUGCAUGUAUUAUGUUUUUCUUUUAGUUUACUCAUGUUUUUAUUUGUUUAUUAUCUUAUAUUUACCCUAGUAUGAUUUUUUUCAUUAAACGUAUGUUCAUGUUAUUUAGUUUUGUCUUAAUGAUAUUAUUUAUGUUUGUAUGGAAAUGUUAGAAUAUUUUGUACAUCUAUGUUUCAUGAUGCAUUAAUAUGUCAUACUAAAACGUCAUUUAAAAUAAUAUUCCAAGGUUUUUUUUUAAAAAAAAAUUAAAAGGCAAUGCUUGAUGUUUGGAAACUUCGAGAAAGGUAGUGCCCUAACUUACUGGGUUGCGACUUUUCUCAUUGAAUUCGAAUAGUCAAGCACCCUUCUAAGUGAUUUUGAGUUUUCAAAACUUAAACAAUUAUUUCGAGAUUUCAAAACAUAGUGUCCUAACUUACUGGACAUAGUGUCCUAACUUACUGGAUAUGGUGUUUUGUUGUUUCAAGAUAGAAAUUUUUGAAAGACGAGCUUAGUUUCGAAAGUUUUAAAAUGUUGCGUCCUAACUUACUGGAUGUGAUAUUUUGACUCGUUUAAAAUAAGUGAGCCUUAAUUUUCAAAAUUGAGACAUUCUAAUUAAAAGAGGUUUGCAUCUUAAAACUUUCAAAUUUUCGACAUUAAAGACACUUGAUAAUCAAUUAGGUACCAAUUUUUGGGCGUUAGAAGGGUGGUAACCCUUCCUCGUACGUAACCGACUCCCGAAUCUGUUUUCUCGACUUUCGUAGACCAAAAUUAAUGUUUUAAAACAAAGCAUUUUAUAUGGUGAUCCAAUCACACCUAAAAAUAUUGGUGGCGACUCCCGUUUUCAUUUUUCUUAAAGUCGAUUCCCAUUUAAAAAAAUGGUUUCGACAGCUUGGCGACUCCACUGGGGACUAAUAAGAGAGUCAAGCCGUGUAAUUGAUUAUAUCUUAUCUUAAUGUCGGAAAUUAAAAAUUUUAAAAUUUAAUCCUCUUUGCAUUACACGUGUUUGUAUUAUUGCAUGUGUUGCUAUAUUCUGAUACGCAUUGCAUUUGCAUGACCGUUGUGGUCACACCCUUAAGUGGGAGUGAGAAGCUACGCCUUCGUGAGGUUUUCGCCUCCGUGCAGGAUAGUGGAUCACUUUCGGGAUACAUCCGCACCUAUGGUUUUGUGAGAUUUUCAUCUCUAUGUAGCCAUAGGGAAAUGUAUUCCCCUGAACCGAACUUGAUUCAAAUGAGCCUAUAAUGGGUGAGGAUCGAGGAAUCUGCUGGUUCGGGUACCUCAAACUUUAGAAACAAACCACAUAUAGAAAAACAGUAAAAGCUCAAUAUAGAUAGAAUUAUACUUAGGUUAUCUUUGUGUUUAUUAAUAUCAUAUGAUACUGACUGUUUUCUUUCUUUUGUGCAUGUCAUUUUGCAUUUAAAAGGUAUCGAUUCACAGUCAGUUUCUAAGUUAGAAAGUUUUAUUAUGGAGAACGGACUUCUUGAUAGAAUGAGGGCAACGUUAACGUCCAUAAAUGGUCAAAGGAAAUGUUGAAGGAUACACAUCAGAAUUAUGGGGUUACACUCGCAUCAGUGUGGCGCAAAAUAAUCUCCAGGGGUUAAAGGAAAUAUGGGAUCAAUGGAGUAAUGAAGCCAAGCAAUUGCUCUACAAUAACUAAGGGGACUUGCAGUAUUUGCUUGACAGGAGGAUAGAUGAGCAAUUCAAAGUGAGUGUGGGAGUAUUGGUGAAAACUUCUACCAUUAUAGCAUUUUUCUUUCAUAUAAAGACGGUUGCCAUGUGGAUGGUAAGGGUAUUGGAAGGAAAGUGAUUGAUAGAGUGCAUGAGACCUACAAAAAUAUCUUGGAUAGAAAGAAUUUUUCCUAUGAUGGUAAAAAGCUCGUUUACUAUAGGACCGCUACCAAACAACAAGCUUGAGUUUACUAUUGUACUUAUCAGAAACAAUAGAAAUGCAAGCCCCGAUUGCCUGGAUAGCUCAAGUAAGCGUGAAAGAAAGCGAUUAAAGAAGACCGUAUCAUACAAAGACCUUUAGAGAUUAGCUAUGCUACAAAAGUACCGAGGCAGGAUGCUCUGCGUAGGUAGAAAUCUGAAAGCUCUCAAGAAACAUUGAGGAUAUACGAUAUUAUUUUAAGGUAGCAUACUGCAGAACGGGAUACCUACCUGUUCACUAAUCUAUCUCAAAAUAAUCAGAACAACUUCACAGGUAUUGGAGGAGGUGCCCUUAGCUGCACGGAUUACCCCACAGGUGAGGUCGUAGCUCAAACUCAGGAGGCACCUGAUUAUUUACAGACAUUGGCGGCACAAGCUGACAUAUUGAGCACCAAUAUGAGCUGCAAUCUGAUCAUGGCCAAGAGUUUGUUUUGUUGUUAAAACUUUAGGCAUUAGGGCGAAAGCGUAUUUGUAAUCCAUUUAUAUGUAAAGAUAUUCUUUUUAUAAAUAAAGUUUUCUAAACGAGAUUGAAUCGAGAUCGAUACCUUUUGCAUUCAUUUGCAUCUUAUAGCAUUUCAUUGCAUCAUUUGCAUUCAAAAUUAUAAAAGGACCCUAAUUAGUUAAAGUUAUUAAAAAGAGAAAGAAAAAGAGAGAGAGAGAAGAGGGUCACGACUGAGUGAAAAAGAAGUUGAAUGGGAAUUAACGAUGUUCCCUUACAUAUCCUCGACUUUUGUGUCAGGAGGGAUAGCUUACCCGGAGAAGAGGGUAUUUGGAAAUAAAAAUCAUCCCAUCAAUGUCAUACAUGAGGAAGGGACUGAACAAAGAAACCUUGAGGGCAUUCGCCCUUAUGAACCGGGAAGUUCUUUAAACAAUUGGACUGCGGAAGAACCUUCUUGUAAUCUUUAGGAAUUUUACGAAGUAAUAUUCAGAACACUCUUGUUGCUCUAAAGCCUAGGAGUAAUGAGAUUUCUUUUGAGAAGUGGGCUCAUGUUCAGACAUUUUUAUUUUCAAUAAAACAUACUUUUAUUAUUUAUCUGAGUAAAUAUUCUUUCAUUCUGAUUCUUUUGACCUUUGACAUUCUUUAUAAAUUUUCAUUUCAUGUAAAUAGUCAUUCUUGAAUUCAUUUAUUCCUUGUAUAUUCUUUUGUGUGCCUAUUAUAGAUCCCUAGAUAUCAAUGACACGGGCAACGAUACUACAGAUUCAGAGUUCCUUUUGAUUGCAAUAUGUGUUUAGAGGAAUCUCAGUGCUUUGAAGGUGACAAAAAUUGUGACUUGUUCUGAAUUUGUUGAAAAUGGUUUUUACCCCAUGAAGUGGUGGUAGGAAAUAUAGCCUUAAAGGAAGGAAAGAUUAUGAAAUUGGAAUUAGCUGAGGAGACAAAACAAGACCUUGUUGAGACUAUUAUGGGAAUUAAAAAAUGUGGUCCAAAGACACAUGCAGGAGGAUUUGUAAUUGCCAGGAUAAACAUGAGGUUUUGGGGCACUGUUGGUCCACCAUGGAAAGGGAUCGCAUCAGUUGUACAAUGAAUGCCAAAUUUAAAGGAGUCAAGACUUAUGGGGCAUGUAUGUUAUAGGCCCAAGCUCGUCAAAAGUUUCAAGCUGACAAUGACUCAUCUUUGUGGACGUCAACUACUCCAUUAAGAGGGGGAGAUAGCUUCAUAUGCCAAUAUUACAAAGUCAAAAGUCAUCCAUUUCAAAAAAAAAGAUUAUAUAUAACUGCACAAUGCCAAAAGUUUGUAGUCUUUUCAAAGAUAAUGCGCCAUACCACAGUACAACAAAGGUUGUCAAAAGAAAAGAAAAAGAAGAAAAAACAAAUUACAGAAGAUGACCGAGACUAGUAAAAAUUGGCAUAAGAAACUACGGCCUACUCUCUAUGCUUACGUUGUGGCAAACACCUUCAAUUCCAGUUGUUUCAAAGGUUCCAACCAUCAUCCUUGGAAUGGGUGCAUUGUUUGGCUUUCCUGAGCAGUCUGAUAUGCCAUCAAUAGCUACGAUGGCUAGCUCUAGGCGGUGGCCAUUGAUUUCCAGCUAUAGGGCAACAGGCCGUACACAGUCUCUGAAGCUUAAAUGAUAGAUUCUUUCUUCAAAACCAGUUUCUGACAAAGUGGAUGACGGUAUCAUGAAGGAAGCUCUCUUAGACUUCUAUACAAGUUCAGGGAAGAGGAAACCUGAUAAAAUUAUUAUUUUCAAGGAUGGGGUUAACGAGUCUCAAUUCAAUCAAGUUUUGAUCAAGUUAUUGAGGCGUGCAAGUUCCUUGACGAGAAGUGGAACCCUAAAGAUUAUGGUUAUUGUUGUACGAAAAACCAUCAUACCAAGUUUUUUCAGCAGGGAUCUCCUGACAAUGUGUUACAUGGUACUGUCAUUGACAACAAAGUAUGCCAUCCAAAGAACAAUGAUUUUUACCUUGGUACCCAUGCUGGAAUGAUUAAAAUCACGAGGUAGACCUACUAUUAUGUUUUCUUAGACCAGGCUGGGUUUUCGGCUGAUGAUCUGCAAGAGUUUGUUCAUUCUCUAUCCUAUAUGUAUCACCACAGCCAUAUUUGUUAUGGCUCCUAUUUGCUCCGCUCAUUUGGUAGCUUCACAGUUGGGGGAAAUUUAUGAAGAUUAGGAUGCUUCAGAAACAUCAUCGAGUCAUGCUGGGAUGUAUGCUCCGGGAGUAAUUUCUGUACCUCAGAUUUCCAGGUUGAAAGACAAAGUCAGCAAAUUCAUUCUUGUCUGCUGAGAAUCAUUGAACCAUCUUUUUGUAGGGUUUGACAAACAACAGCCAGGACUGCUGCUGGGGCAAUCCCUUUCUCAUGGGUUUAUGAAUCAAGAUUUUUCCUCCGAGCUUUGAUGGAGUCAAGAAUUGAAUACCUCUAGUAAACUUAACUUGAAAGUAUUCAUCCUAAGCAAAUGUACCAAGAAUGGAUGACAUAGACUUAUGACAAAAAAGGUUCGUCCAAAAGAAUUUCAUAAAGGAAACCUUGUGCUGAAAGGGAUCCUUUCCAUGCAAAAGGAUGUCGAAUUGGGAAGGGCCAUAUGUUGCAAAGAGGGCUUUCUCUAGAGGUGCACUGAUUUUGACAAGAAAUGGAUAGGAAGAAUUUAUCUGAUCCAGUGAAUUCAGACUCGGUCAAGGAGUACUUUGUCUGAAGGAGAAAGGAAGCCAAGGUGAAAACCCACAAAAGGCACUUUGGGACUUCUAUUUCAAAAAAAAAAGAAAAAAGGAAAAAAAAUAAAAGAAAAAGAAAAAAAUAAAAAGAAAAAAAUGGAAAGGCCAAGGUGAAAACCCGCAAAGGGUGCCUUCAGACCAAAGGGGUUUUGAGUUGAAAACCCGAAAGGGCAGCUCAAAUUUGGAAAGGCAUGCAGUGACCUUGCUAUACCGGAUUCGACGAGAAGUGAAGUAUGUUACAUAUCAAGGCAUCAACGAAUUACUUUGGAUCUUUUAAACACAUGUUGAACUCAAGAAAGUCUUCAUGGAGUUGGUGUAUAGACGCUCAAGCGGCGAUAUCUGGGGCAUCUGAUUUCUGUCCUAUUUACUAUCUUUGGAUUCUUUUCUUCGCAAAGAUAUGUUCUCAGGUUAAUCUUUUUGCAUUCCUUCUAAUAAUUUGUCCAAAUCUAAUUAUCCUCAGGAUCAAUUUAUUUGUCUCCCAUUAUUCAUAAAGCAUGUAGCAUUGAAAUAAUGAUAGAUGAACUAAAAUAUCUUCACAAACGAAGUUUUGCAUAUUACUCUGGAAAUUUCUAGAUAAUACAAGAAACUGAAACAAGACAAUUGUUUAAGGAAUUCUCAUAUGUAUGGGUUGGAGAUACUCAAGAGAUUUUCUUCUUCAGUCCAAAAGGUGGUUGGACGUUUUAAGCAAUAUUGAUCUUAAGAAAGGAUCAUUUCAUAAACAUCUUCAGUGGGUCAUAACAUUCGGGGAAUGGUACUGUAAACCAAAUUGAUGGAGAAGAUUCGAGGCAUACGAGCAGAGUAUGAUUGAUAUGUCGAGAAGAAUGAGGUGAAAAGCUCGAUAGAUGAAUGAGUGAUGACGUCCGAAAUAGGAGUUAUUUUCAUAAACAUUUUGCAUCAUAAUAUGUCUAAUUAGGAGCAUUUGACUCAUUCCGAUCAUGGCAUCUUAAUUAUUUGGCAUAAGCAUAAAUUCCAGGAAAUCAAUUCUACAGGUGGAUUCCCCAGUGGACAAUGUAGCAAGAUUGAUUGAAAAUUACAAAAUUCAGUGCCUUAAUCCCCUAAGCAGUAGGGUAACAGGUUAAAUUUGCAGAUCUUAUCUCCCUAAGCAGUAGUGGAGCAGAUCGAAGACUCGCCUUAAUCCCCUAAGUAGUAGGGUAACAGGUUAAAUUUGCAGAUCUUAUCUCCCUAAACAGUAGUGGAGCAGAUCGAAGACUCGCCUUAAUCCCCUAAGCGGUAGGGUAACAGGUUAAAUUUGCAGAUCUUAUCUCCCUAAGCAGUAGUGGAGCAGAUCGAAGACUCACCUUAAUCCCUUAAGCGGUAGGGUAACAGGUUAGAUUUGCAGAUCUUAUCUCCCUAAGCAGUAGUGGAGCAGAUCGAAGACUCUCCUUAAUACCCUAAUCAGUAGGGUAAUAGGUUUGCAGAUCUUAUCUCCCUAAGCAGUAGCGAAGCAGAUCGACGACGACUCGCCUUAAUCCCCUAAGCAGUAGGGUAACAGGUUAAAUUUACAGAUCUUAUCUCCCUAAGUAGUAGUGGAGCAGAUCGAAGACCCGUCUUAAUCCCCUAAAUAGUAGGGUAACAGGUUAAAUUUGCAAAUCUUAUCCCUAAGCAGUAGCGGAGUAGAUCAAAGAAGAUGCUCCUUAACCCCCUAAGCAGUAGGGUAACAGGUUAAAGUAUAACAGAUCUGGCCUUCAGGUGUUCACGCUGAAGUAGAUCCAAGAUGAUUUGGCAUCUUUGUAUUGUUCUGUGAAAUGUGAAAUGUGUUUUCGAGCAUCGAAGUGAGAAAUUAUUUGAUCUGUGAAAUGUGUUUUCGAGCAUUGAAGUGCGUCUCAUUAUUAUUCGAUGAAAACGCGUCUUCAGAAAUGCAUUUUGAAGCGUGCAUUUCUUUUCUCCUUGUUCUAUUUUGUUAUUAAAGUACUGAAAUAUUCAGAACUUAGACACGUAGCAAAUUCAUAUCAAACAUUGAAGAGUUGCACUGCAAGUGUGGUCUCCAUUUCUUUGGAUAACCAUCUGAAGAUUUUUAUAUGACAAAUGAAUUCACGGCUAACUUGGUAUAGCUCAAUUACGAGAUGAUAUGAGUUGAUAUGAACUAGUACAGGCAUUUAUGUGAAUCACUUAGAAAUGGUAUUCAAAGCCUAGUGAGCUUUAUUCACCAAUUCAAGUGUUAAAUGACAUGCCUUUCCAAACACUAGCCGAUAGGGAGUCAUCCUUAAUGCUAUCUUAAAAGUAGUUCGAUAGGCCCAUAGUGCAUUAUCGAGCCUUCGAGACCAAUUUUUUCUUUUAGGACGCACUACUAUUUCAAGAAUACUUUGAUUUCUUGAUUCACCCUUUCAACUUUCCCAUUCAAUUAUGGGUGAUAGGCAGUGGCAUUCUUAUGAUUUACAUCAUACUUGUAAAGUAACCACUUGAGCUAUUUAUUUACAAUUUGAGAUCCUUCUUUACUAAUUAUAGCUCUAGGAGUCCCAAAUUGUGUAAAUGAGUGCUUAUGUAAGAAUCGCAUGACUACCUUAACGUCAUUAGUUGGGUAUGCUUCGGCUUCAACCCACUUGAAUUCGUAAUCCACAACUGCCAAAAUAAACUUAUUACCAUAUGAAGAAGGAAAUAGGCCUAGAAAAUCAAUGCCCCAUAAAUCGAGAAAUUCUAUCUCUAAAAUAUUCAUUAAGGGCAUCUCGUUCCUUCUUGGUAUGUUUCCAGUGCUUUGGCAUCUAUCACAGUUUCUCACAUAUGCAUAAACGUCCUUGAACAAUGUAUGCCAAAAGAACCCAACUUGUAAAAUCUAUGUUGCAAUUCGUGAACCACCAAAGUGUCCCCUACUCAAAGAUGAACAAAAGUGGCACAAAAUGUCUCUAAUGAACCUCCUACAUAGUGAAAAUUACAUAUAUCAAUAAAUUAACAUGAAUUAUUAUUCGAUGAAAUUAUUUGAUCUGCGAAAUGCAUUUUUGAGCAUCGAAGUACGUUUCAUUAUUAUUCGAUGAAAACGCGUCUUCAAAAAUGCAUUUUGAAGUGUGCAUUUCUUCUCUCCUUAUUCUAUUUUGUUAUUAAAGUAUUCAAAUUUUUAGAACUUAGACACGUAGCAAAUUCAUAUCAAACAUUGAAGAGUUGCACUGCAAGUGUGGUCUACAUUUCUUUAGAUAACCAUCUGAUGAUUAUUUAUAUGACAAAUGAAUUCACGACUAACUUGGCACAGUUCAAUUACGAGAUGAUAUGAGUUGAUACGAACUAGCACAGGUAUUUAUGUGAAUCACUUGGAAAUGUAUUUAUAUGACAAAUGAAUUCAUGGCUAACUUGGUUGAUGGAUAUGUGUUUGGCUUUUUGGGCCAAAUUGAAUUGUGUGAUGCCUUAAUUUACUUGCCUAAAUUGUUGUUGAAUGUUAAGUUAUAUUUUUAGUUAUACGAACUUACUAAGCUUAAAUGCUUACUCUGUGUUAUUUUCUGUGUUUUUUAGUGGUUCAGAAGCUCUUCGAAUUGAAUGUUGUCGGAGAUUACAUCACACUAUCAAUUUCUUAUUUUGGUACUUUUGGUUAUAUAUUUUGGUUUUAAUUGCAUGUAUAGGUCAUUUUAGCUAAUCAUAGUGUAAUAGCCCAUUUUUCCCGGCCCAAUCCAGUAUUUAAAAUAAUAAACCGCCAAAAAAUAAAAAUAAAACAAAGUCCAAGUCCAGUACAAAAUUACAAACAUAUAAUUUGGCCCAAUUGGAAUGGCCCAUUACUUGAAAAGAUUUAAGGUCCAUCUAUAAGCUUGACUCAUAUGGAAAUAUAAUCUUUAAGGAUAAGCAAUCUUAGAUAUGAUAUGCAAUCUUAGAUAUGAUACAAUCUUAGAUAUGAUAUGCAAUCUUGAAGAUAUGAUCUUGUAAUCUUGGAGAUUUAAUUUGUAGAUAUCCUUUAAUCUUAACCGUUGAUGUAAUUGAUCUGUACCGUUGGAUUUGGGGAGGCUCAACUAUAAAUAGAGGCCUCUCCCUUCACUGUAAAUCACUUGAGCUUUGGGAAGCAAUAAGAAUUCUUGAGAGUAUUCACUCAAAUUUCUCUCCCUCUUGCUUUCUUACUCUCUGUGGUUUGUUCUUAUUUUAUUCUUCGUCUAUCUUAGUUUUUCAACCCUUUUUUUAUUUUAAUUUCUUCAUUUUUCAAAUAUGUAUAUUUAUUCCUAUCUUUAAUACAUUUGAUUAUGUAUUUUAUAUAUUAUAAUAUUUAACCUUUUUAUAUGGUUUAUUUUCAAAUAUAUAUUUUUUGUGCAUGUAUAUAUAUUAUAUUAUCAUUUCAUGUAUUUUAAACUAUUGCAUUAUAUUUUUAUAAUUUGUAAAUGUUCUAUUUAUUCAUUUUUUUAGUGUAUGCCAUUUAUCUUAUUUGUGCAUAGUUUCAUUUUUUUAUAUGCUAUGUUUAAUUAUUUCUUUUAUGUGCUAUUUUAUGAUAUAUAUUGUUGUAUAAUUUUUGCAUGUAUUAUGUUUUUCUUUUAGUUUACUCAUGUUUUAUUUGUUUAUUAUCUUAUAUUUACCCUAGUAUGAUUUUUUCAUUAAACGUAUGUUCAUGUUAUUUAGUUUUGUCUUAAUGAUGUUAUUUAUGUUUGUAUGGAAAUGUUAGAAAAUUUUGUACAUCUAUGCUUCAUGAUGCAUUAAUAUGUCAUCCUAAAACGUCAUGUAAAAUAAUAUUCCAAGGUUUUUUUUUUAAAAAAAUAAAAGGCAAUGCUUGAUGUUUGGAAACUUUGAGAAAGGUAGUGCCCUAACUUACUGGGUUGCGACUUUUCUCGUUGAAUUUGAAUAGUCAAGCACCCUUCUAAGUGAUUUUGAGUUUUCAAAAUUUAAACAAUUAUUUCAAGAUUUCAAAAUAUAGUGUCCUAACUUACUGGAUAUGGUGUUUUGUUGUUUCGAGAUAGAAAUUUUCGAAAGACGAGCUUAGUUUCGAAGGUUUUCAAAUGUUGCGUCCUAACUUACUGGAUGUGAUGUUUUGACUCGUUUAGAAUAAGUGAGCCUUAAUUUUCAAAAUUCAGACAUUCUAAUUAAAAAAGGUUUGCAUCUUAAAACUUUCAAAUUUCCGACAUUAAAGACACUUGAUAAUCAAUUAGGUACCAAUUUUUGGGUGUUACGAGGGUGCUAACCCUUCCUCGUACGUAAUCAACUCCCGAAUCCGUUUUCUCGACUUUUGUAGACCAAAAUUAAUGUUUUAGAACAAAACAUUUUAUAAGGUGAUCCAAUCACACCUAAAAAGAUUGGUGGCGACUCCCGUUUUCAUUUUUCUUAAAGUCGAUUCUCAUUUUCCAAAACUCGAUUUGAAAAUUGUUUUGACAGCUUGGUGACUCCGCUAGGGAAUAAUAAGAGAGUCAAGCCGUGUAAUUGAUUAUCUCUUGUCUUAAUGUUGGUAAUUAAAAAUUUUUAAAAUUUAAUCCUCUUUGUAUUACAUGUGUUACUAUAUUCUGAUACGCAUUGCAUUUGCAUAACUGUUGUGGUCACACCCUUAAGUGGGAGUGAGAAGCUACACCUUCGUGAGGUUUUCGCCUCCGUGCAGGAUAGUGGUUCACUUUCGGGAUACAUCCGUACCUAUGGUUUCGUGAGAUUUUCAUCUCCGUGUAGCCAUAGGGAAAUGUAUUGCCCUGAACUGAAUCGAUUCAAAUGAGCCUAUAAUGGGUGAGGAUCGAGGAAUCUGCUGGUUCGGGUACCUCAAACUUUAGAAACAAACCACAUAUAGAAAAACUAUAAGAGCUCAAUAUAGAUAGAAUUAUACUUAGGUUAUCUUUGUGUUUAUUAAUAUCAUAUGAUACUGACGGUUUUCUUUCUUUUGUGCAUGUCAUUUUGCAUUUAAAAGGUAUCGAUUCACAGUUAGUUUCUAAGUUAGAAAGUUUUAUUAUGGAGAACGAACUUCUUGAUAGAAUGGAGGGCAACGCUAACGUCCAUAAAUGGUCAAAGGAAACGCUGAAGGAUACACAUCAGAAUUAUGGGGUUACACUCGCAUCAGCGUGGCGCAAAAUAAUCUCUAUGAGUUAAAGGAAAUAUAGGAUCAAUGGAGUAAUGAAGCCAAGCAGUUGUUCUACAAUAACUAAGGGGACUUGCAGUAUUUGCUUGACAGGAGGAUAGAUGAGCAAUUCAAAGUGAGUGUGAGAGUAUUGAUGGACACUUCUACCAUUAUAGCAUUUCUCUUUCAUAUGAAGUCGGUUGCCAUGUGGAUGGUAAGGGUAUUGGAAGGAAAGUGAUUGAUAGAGUGCAUGAGACCUACAAAAAUGAGUUGGGUGGAAAUAAUUUUGCCUAUGAUGGUAAAAAGCUCGUUUACUAUAGGACCGCUACCAAACAACAAGCUUGAGUUUACUGUUUUACUUAUCAGAAACAAUGGAAAUGCAAACCCUGAUGGCAUGGAUAGCUCAAGUAAGCCUGAAAGAAAGCGAUUAAAGAAGAUCGUAUCAUACAAAUACCUUUAGAGAUUAGCUAUGCUUCGAAGGUACCGAGGUAGAAUGCUCUGCGUGGGCAAAAAUCUGAAAGCUCUCAAGAAACAUUGAGGAUAUAGGAUAUUAUUUUACGGUAGCACACUGCAGAACGGGAUACCUACUUGUUCGCUAAUCUUUCUCAAAAUAAUCGGAACAACUUCACAGGUAUUGGAGGAGGUGCCCUUAGCUGCAUGGAUUACCCCACAGGUGAGGUCGUAGCUCAAACUCAGGAGGCAGCUGAUUAUUUACAGACAUUGGUGGCACAGGCUGACAUAUUAAGCACAAAUAUGAGCUAUAAUCUAAUCGUGGCCAAGAGUUUGUUUUGUUGUUAAAACUUUAGGCAUUAGGGCAAAAGCGUAUUUUUAUUCCAUUAAAAUGUAAAGAUAUUCUUUUUCAAAAUAAAGUUUUCUAAAUGAGAUUGAAUCGAGAUCGAUACCUUUUGCAUUCAUUUGCAUCUUAUAGCUUUUAUUGCAUCAUUUGCAUUCAAAAUUAUAAAAAGGCCCUAAUUAGUUAAAGUUAUUAACAAGAGAAAGAAAAAGAGAGAGAGAGAAGAGGGUCACGGCUGAGUGAAAAAGAAGUUGAAGGGGGAUUAAUGACGUUCCCUUACAUAUCCCUGACUUUUGUGUCAGGAGGGAUAGCUUACCCGGAGAAGGGGGUGUUUGGAAAUGAAAAUCAUCCCAUCAAUGUCAUACAUGAGGAAGGGACUGAACAAAGAAACCUUGAGGGCAUUUUCCCUUACGAACCGGGAAGUUCUUUAAACAAUUGGACUACAGAAGAACUUCCUGUAAUCUUUAGGAAUUUUACGGAGUAAUCUUCAGAACACUCUUGUUGCUCUAAAGCCUAGGAGUAAUGAGAUUUCUUUUGAGAAGUGGGCUCAUGUUCAGACAUUUUUAUUUUCAAUAAAACAUACUUUUAUUAUUUAUCCGAGUAAAUAUUCUUUCAUUCUGAUUCUUUUGACCUUUGACAUUCUUUAUAAAUUUUCAUUUCAUGUAAAUAGUCAUUCUUGAAUUCAUUUAUUCCUUGUAUAUUCUUUUGUGUGCCUAUCAUAGAUCCCUAGAUAUCAAUGACACGGGCAACGAUACUACAGAUUCAGAGUUCCUUUUGAGUGUAAUAUGUGUUUAGAGGAAUCUCAGUGCUUUGAAGGUGACAAAAAUUGUGACUUGUUUCUGAAUUUGUUGAAAAUGGUUUUUACCCCAUGAAGUGGUGGUAGGAAAUAUAGUCUUAAAGGAAGGAAAGAUUAUGAAAUUGGAAUUAGCUGAGGAGACAAAACAAGACCUUGUUGAGACUAUUAUGGGAAUUAAAAAAUGUGGUCCAAAGACACAUGCAGGAGGAUUUGUAAUUGCCAGGAUAAACAUGAGGUUUUGGGGCACUGUUGGUCCACCAUGGAAAGGGAUCGCAUCAGUUGUACAAUGAAUGCCAAAUUUAAAGGAGUCAAGACUUAUGGGGCAUGUAUGUUAUAGGCCCAAGCUCGUCAAAAGUUUCAAGCUGACAAUGACUCAUCUUUGUGGACGUCAACUACUCCAUUAAGAGGGGGAGAUAGCUUCAUAUGCCAAUAUUACAAAGUCAAAAGUCAUCCAUUUCAAAAAAAAAAGAUUAUAUAUAACUGCACAAUGCCAAAAGUUUGUAGUCUUUUCAAAGAUAAUGCGCCAUACCACAGUACAACACAUGUAACACCCCAAACCCGGCCUAGACAUUAUGACCGGAUCUGAUGCGCCACAUCGAAGCGUUCAAAACAUUUCAUAUUACUUAGUUGGAAAACUUAGUUGGUGUUGUAAAAGACACUUUUAAAAGUAGGUUAAAGAGAAUGGAAGCUGUGCACCAGGUAGGAAACCAGGAAGAAGAGGAGGUGAGUCCGUCGGACUGCUUAAGUACCAAGCUCCCUUCGGAUCCAAUCCUAGACAUGCACACCGCCAUUGCCACACUCUAACAUCUCGUAUAAUUUUGAGAAAACCGUUUGGUUAGGUCCAUCUUAAGAAAAUAAUUAAGGUUGAAAACGUUUGCUUAGCGGAAGUCUUACUAGUAUUCGUGUUAUUUUGGAAUCACUUAAUGUUUUUGAAAACGCGUCCUAGAGCUAAACUAUUUCGUUAGUUAUCAUAGAUUAGUUUUAUCAUAAUAGAAUUAAAUAAUAAAGAAACAACCCAAACCAUAAAAAUAAUUAGCGGCCUUAUUGCAAAAAAAAACCCAAAACCAUAAACGAAAAUAUGGAAAAUCUAGUUCACCAGAAGAAAACGAAUUUGCAGAAAACGUGUGGCCACUCCGAAUCCCCCCUAUCUCCAAGUCCACCAACUAGGGCUCACCUGCAAGGAUGGAAGAAAAAGGGGUGAGUUUGGGAAAACUCAGUGUAUACAGAAACCCAUCCAAAGCCCAAAUCAGCUCGAGCCCAUUGGGCCUAAGCCCCAUUCAGAUAACAGUACACAGUGGACCAAAGCCCUUUUCAGAACACAAUAGCAAGGCCUUAGCCCUUUGUAACAUAACAGUGUGGCCCAUAGGCCCAGUUCAGUAACAUAGGUAACAAUAGUAGUAAUGCAUGCAAACCCAUCUGGGGAGACUACUCAACCCACCAACCGCUACACUGCCCCGUACCAGCCCUACACUCCACGUGGGGAAUAUCUCAACCCACCCAGCCCUAUACUCCACAGUUGCAGCAACGCUGCUCAAAUAUCAGUAAGUUGAGGCAAAGCCUCCAGUACGUGGAUGAACCACUUUCAAUACUUCCUCCAUCAAUACCCCAAUCCCAUGCAACAGAUAUUAAUAAAGCAUAUCAUGUACAAUACAGUAUUAAUCAAUCAUGCAGUUUAGCUAAUUUAAACCCUAGGGGUAUUUCGGUAAUUAUGCUCUUUAGGGGUAAUUUCGUACUUACGCAACUACACAAGUUAUUUCAGUAAUUUUUAGCCGUUUUAUGCAAUUUGGUUCCACCAUCUAACUAACAUGCUACUUUGCCCAUCUCUUACCCAUAUUGGUCCGUUAGCCCAUUGGGCCCAGUUUUGGCCCAUCGAGGCCCUCUUUUUCCGAAGUACGUUAAGACGUCACACAAACUUACUUACCACCUUGCGGUGCUAGAUCUAACAAUUACUCUACGUCUUUGAGAGCAUUCGCAUACUCACAAGCCCAUGAAAUGCCGGAAUUUCGGUAUUUCAGCUUUUGCCAAAUUGAACUAAGAAAGGGUGUUCGGUACACACCUGAUUCGCGAUGACUGCUACUGAGAUCUCUUCCGAUGUCCUAAAAUUGAUUAGCACAGUUCUUAUUUACAAACCAUAAUCACUAAACCCCAAAACUUACUUAUCCAUGAUCGAACCAUGUCCCUAAAAGCCUUUGAAACCUUACCUUUUUGCCAAAAUCGAUAGCUAGCUCCGAAUCCGAUUGCUCCAACAACCCACGCCUUCAAUCCAACACUUAAGAAGACACUAAUCAUUGACAGAAAAUGUCAGUUAAAAACCCUUAGAGCCACAUGCUCAAAUCGACAGCCUCCCUAGAUUUUAGGGACUUCGGCUUUUCCUAACUUUGUAAAAUAUGACCAGAUCUGAGAUGAUGAACACUUACCCCUUACUCCUCUUUGAUCUCCAUGCAAUCUGAUGCAAAUUUAUCUUUCAAACGACAGUAGAACUCGACUCCUAAAGUUUUGAAGUUUCGGCUAUAAGCCCCCAAAUCUAUGGUUUUUCGGCUUUUGGGUGAUGAAGGAGAUGACAAUGUGGAACUAUAACCUGGAUGUAGAAUUGCCUACAGGUCUCUAGAGUUCAGAAAGAAUAAUAAUUGAUUAAUGGAAACACAAUGUUAUAGGGUUUGGCUCUGAAGAAAUCUGUACCUGUAAUGUGUGUUCAAGAUUUCGGCUUUUAUGGAUUCGGCAAAAGUAUUGAUGAACGGCAGAAUUGAUGAAUAGUUUCAAAGAAGAAAAAUAGAAAAAGAAGAAUAGGAGAAGUGGUAGUUUCGGCUAAAGAGGAAAAAGAGAGAAAAGAAAAACCUUGUGAUGUCUGAGCAGAAAGGAACGGCACCACUCAAUACCCUAGGUGCCGAAAUACUAACCUCAUAACCCUCUGCCGAUUUUCCCCCUUCAAUUCCCAAAAUUCGGCCAACUCCUAACCUCUCUCCUAAUCCCUUAAAUCUCUCCCCUUAUCACUCCUUAAUCCAAGCGUUUGGACUGAUCCAAACUCUCCUUUAGCAGAAUCCACCUGGACUCCAACACUACCCCUCCUGCACUUAAAAAUAAAUGCAUCUCUUUGUCAACACAGGGAAUCGAUCCCAUGCCUCCCUCAAAGCUCCACACGCCACCUUUUUAGGAGCCUAGUGGCGUCACCCUGGCCACUUUACCAAGGCUCUUUUUGUGAUGCAAUUUUCCCAUAACUCUAUACAAGGACCAUCUAGCUAGAACCCCUAACUCCUAAGUCCAAAAAUUCAAAAAUUCAACCGGGUUUUGGCCAACACAUGGGCCUUCUAUAAGCCCAUUUACCUACUCAAAAUAUUAAUUUCACAUCCGAAUACAAAAUUUUAAAAUCUUUACAAAAUAUUGAAAACCGUGAAUAAAUCCAAAAAUCAGGAUGUUACAACUCUACCCUCCUUAAAGAAAUUUCGACCUUAAAAUUUUACCUUAUUAGAACAGUUGAGGGUACUGUUGACGCAUAGCCUCCUCAGUCUCCCAAGUAGCUUUUUCUUUGCCAUGGUUCCUCCAAAGUACUUUCACUAGUGGAACUGAUUUCCUUCUCAACACCUUGACGUCACGAUCAAGUAUUUGCACAGGUUCCUCUUCGAAAGUUAAAUCUGACUGUACCUCGAUUUCUGCGACUGGUAUGAUAUGUGUUGGAUCAGAUCGAUACCUCCUCAGCAUGGAUACAUGAAAAACGUCGUGGAUACACUGCAGUUCUGGUGGUGAUUCUAGCUGAUAAGCCACGGGUCCAACCCUCUUAACAAUUCGGUAAGGCCCAAUAAACCGUGGGCUCAACUUACCCUUCUUACCAAAUCUAAAAAUUUUCUUCCAACGGGAAACCUUCAAGAAAACCAUAUCCCCAACAGCGAACUCAAUCUCCUUGCGCUUCAGAUCCGCAUACGACUUCUGUCUAUCAGAUGCCUCCUUUAACUGAUCCCUUAUCAGCCUAACCUUGCUUUCAGUGUCUGCCACCAAUUCCAGUCCAAGCACUUGUCGUUCACCCAACUCUGUCCAACACGUCAGCGUACGACAUCUUCGCCCAUAAAGCGCUUCAUAUGGUGCCAUCUGAAUACUUGCUUGAUAGCUGUUAUUGUAAGCAAACUCCGCCAAUGGCAAGUAGUCCUCCCAACUUCCAUGAAAAUCAAUGAUACAACCUCUCAACAUAUCCUCCAGAACCUGAAUAACCCUUUCUGACUGUCCAUCUGUCUGUGGGUGAAAAGCGGUGCUAAAAUCCAAUCGUGUACCCAACGCUUCCUGCAACUUCCGCCAAAACCGAGACGUAAACCUAGGGUCUCGAUCAGAAAUUAUCGACACUGGCACCCCAUGCAGUCGCACUACCUCCGCCACAUAUAACUUGGCCAACUUUUGCAGUGAGUAGUCGGUACGAACAGGUAUGAAAUGAGCAGAUUUUGUUAACCUAUCCACAACCACCCACACUGAAUCUUUCUUGGUGGGUGUCAAAGGUAACCCACUCACAAAGUCCAUUGUUACUCUUUCCCACUUCCAUAGCGGAAUUUUCACAGGUUGCAGUAAUCCCGAAGGCAAUUGGUGCUCAGCCUUAACCUACUGGCGCGUCAGACAUUUCCCAACAAAUUCAGUCACUCUCGUUUUAAUCCGGGCCACCAGUACACUUCUCGCAAGUCUCGAUAUAACUUAUUCCCUCCAGGAUGCAUGGCACAGAGUCCACCAUGAGCCUCUUUUAGAAUUAACUGCCUCAAUUCAGGGUCCUUUGGAAUACAAACCCUUCCACGAAAGCACAGAACUCCUUCAGUGUUCAACCCAAAAUCCUCGUUCUCACCACUCUUAACUUGCUGGAACCGGAGAGCUAAUGAAUCAUCUUUCAACUGUUUUUCCUUAAUCUGCUCAGUCCAAGUAGGCCUUACCUGCAGUUCUGCCAACAAGCUUCCAUCAUCGUACAGACUUAAUCGUGCGAACAAGGCUCUCAAAUCAGUAACAACCCUUCGACUCAACGCAUCCGCCACCAUAUUAGCCUUUCCUGGGUGGUACUCUAUCGAACAGUCGUAGUCUUUAAGCAACUCCACCCAUCUUCGUUGCCUAAGGUUCAACUCCUUCUGAGUCAACAAAUACUUUAGGCUCUUAUGAUCUGUGUAUAUGAUGCACUUUUCCCCAUAUAAGUAGUGUCUCCAAAUUUUUAACGCAAAAAUCACCGCUGCUAGCUCCAAAUCAUGCGUAGGGUAAUUCACCUCAUGAGCCUUAAGCUGUCGCGAUGCAAAAGCGACCACCUUGCCCUCUUGCAUCAGUACGCAACCUAACCCCACAUGCGAUGCAUCGCUGUAUACAGUAAAGUCCUUCCCAGACAUCGGUUGAAUCAACACUGGCGCUUCGGUCAAUACCUUUUUCAACCGAUCAAAAGCUUUUUGCUGUUUCUCGGUUCAGACAAAUGGUACUCCUUUCCUUAUGAGUUUUGUCAAGGGUGCCGCCAUUACCGAGAAACCCUCCACAAACCUUCUGUAGUAACCUGCUAACCCUAGAAAACUCUAAAUUUCCGAUACUGACCUAGGUGGCUUCCAUUCCAGAAUUGCUUUAAUUUUACGAGGAUCCACCUUAAUCUCCUCGGCAGAGACCACAUGCCCUAGGAAAGUUACCUCCCUCAACCAAAAUUCACACUUGCUAAAUUUUACGUAGAGCUCUUUUUCCCUUAACACUUGCAGCACAAUACGGAGAUGCUCAUCAUGCUUCGCUUCCGUUUCAGAGUAUACCAGGAUAUCGUCGAUAAAGACGACUACGAACCGAUCCAAGUAAGGUUGGAAUACUCGGUUCAUCAGAUCCAUAAAAGCUGCAGGUGCGUUCGUCAGCCCAAACAGCAUGACCACAAAGUCAUAAUGUCCAUAUCGAGUUCGAAAUGUUGUUUUAUGAAUAUCCCCUUCAUUUACCCUUAGCUGAUGGUAUCCAGAACGAAGAUCGAUUUUGGAGAAUACCGAAGCUCCCCUCAGUUGAUCGAACAGAUCGUCAAUCCUUGGUAGUGGAUACUUAUUCUUAAUCGUUAGUUUGUUCAGCUGGCGAUAAUCGAUGCACAUGCGCAUCGUUCCGUCCUUUUUCUUCACAAACAGGACCGAUGCACCCCAAGGAGACACACUAGGCCUAAUGAAGCCUCUAUCUAACAACUCUUGAAUUUGAGCCCUCAGUUCCACUAACUCCUUCGGUGCCAUCCUAUAUGGUGCAAUAGAUACUGAAGCUGUUCCAGGCAACAAAUCGAUUCCAAACUCAACUUCCCGAUUCGGAGGUAAUCCAGGAAGCUCUUCUGGAAAAACAUCCCAGAAUUCCCUAACAGUUCUGAUGGUCUCCACAGUCAGAUCCUCAGUUUCAGCUUGGCUUACCCAAGCCAGAUAUGCCUCGCACCCCUUGUGCAUCAGUUUCUCAGCCCUCAACUCCGAUACUACAUUGGAUAAGUAAUCCCUCCGUUCUCCAAUAAUCAUUACCUCUUCAUCAUUGACAGUCCUUAACACUAUCCUCUUAGCUGCACAAUCCAAAGUUGCCUUAUGCUUGGUCAACCAAUCCAUCCCUAGUAUCAAAUAGAAUUCUUCAAGCGGUAACUCUAUCAAAUCCCCACAGAAAACCCUACCUUGAACCUCCAGAGGCACCUCCUUGAAGAGUUUCUCUACCUUAACCGAAUGACCUAAAAGACUAUCACAGACACCCCACACACAGUCUCCUCGAAGUGCACAUCCAGUGCCCCAGAAAUGUUAUAUGCCGCAUAUGAAUGGGUUGAUCCCACAUCAAUCAGAGCAGUAUAAGGUACACCAUAGAUAAAAAACGUACCAGUUAUGACAUCAGGUGCGUCACCCUCCUCGCGGCGACGAGCAGCAUACACAAAAGCUGGCUGACGAGCAUCCGCGUUACCAAUACCCCUGCCGGGUGCCCCACGUCCACAGCCAUUACCACCGCGACCUUGUCCACGACCUCUUGGCAGCGGCGGUCCAUCCCUCACAGGUUGAGCCGGUCGCAUAGCCCCUUGUUCGGCCACCUGAGCCUGAGUGGCCCUCCUAGGACAAUCCUUAAUCCUAUGCUCCUUAGACCCACAACGAAGACAAGCCCCAGAACACUUCCAGCACUCUCCUUGAUGCAUUCUGCCGCAAUCCCCACAAGCUUGCGGUCUACCUGUGUUCAUCAGAACUGCUCGAACCGGUUCCUCCAUCCUAGCUCUCUUAGCAUUUCGAUUUGUAGCACCCGCUGGUCCAGCAUCCCUCCUGAACUGAUUCCGAUCCCUAUCAUGAUUCUCUCAUUCGGUUUGUUUCACCUCCUCAACUAUCUUAGCCUUCUCUACUAGUGCAGCAAAAUCUCGCACUCUCUACGGAGCUAUGAGCACCCUUAACUCAUCUCUGAGGCCAUUCUCAAAACGAACGCUGCGCUCGUAUUCAGUGCAAACGAUGCCAUUAGCAUACCGACUCAAUCGUAGAAACUCCGCCUCAUAUUCAGCAAUGGUCUUAUUUCCCUGAGUCAGAUUCAAGAACUCCUUUCUGCGUGCGUCCACAUAGCUAGCUCCAACAUAUUUUGCCUUAAAAGUCUGUUUAAACAGCUCCCAUGUUACCCUCUCAGCUGGGGUACCCUCUCUCACAGUAAUCCACCACUGAUACGCUUCAUCCCGCAGCAACGACACCGCCCCUUUCAACUUCUGUUCUACUGAGCAGUCCAGGUCAUCCAUGAUCCGCUCCGUGGCUUCCAACCAGUAUUCAGCCACAUUUGGGGCCACUCCAGAUACGCCCCUAAAAAUUUCAGCUCCGUUGGCCCGAAGGCAUUCAGAAAUGGACCCCCUAUUCAUGGGCCCGAUGUUAGCUCCGGCCACCCUUUCCAAAACCCUCAACAUGGCCUGAGACAGAGCGUCAGCCCCUGCAGCCCGGUCAUAUGGCCCAUUUUCAUUAACCGGUGGUGGACGUACCUCACCAGCUGGCAUGUGUUCAGAUGACGCAGAUCCAGCUUGAGUGCUACCUCGGCCUCGACCACGGCCUCUUCCUCGAGUAGCCCUUGUACUCAUAACGAUUUAUCUGAUUACGAAUUUUAUGACAUUAGUUUACUGGUUCCACUGUUUAUUAAUGAAUGUCUUAUGAACAGAUAGAGUUUCAGAGUUAUUUUCGCGCAAUCACAAUUUAGCUACGGUCCCAGUUUUGUAGCCCUAAUACUACCUUAUCAAUAGCACUAUCUCUAAGGCUCAGUACUAUCUAUAGUAUUAUUUCCAGUCCAGUUCCAUAUAAAUAUUUAAAGUAGAAAAAGAACACUUACAGACUUGGUGCCGGGGAUUCAGUGUGCCACUUCUUUAUCAGUCUAUAAAAAACCCAUGUUUUUGUUUACCGAAAAUAAAAAGAUUUCAUUUGAAAACACUUUUAUUUUAAAACUAUUGAUUUAACCUCGUUCAAUAGAAAAACUUUGAACAUCUUUGAAAAACUUAUAGAAAAAACUUUUAACCCCGAUCUACAGCCGAGUUGUUACAACCAGGCUCUGAUACCACUAAAUGUAAUACCCCAAACCCGGCCUAGACGUUAUGACCAGAUCUGAUGCGCCACAUCGAAGUGUUCAAAACAUUCCGUAUUACUUAGUUGGAAAACUUAGUUGGUGUUGUAAAAGACACUUUUAAAAGUAGGUUAAAGUGAAUGGAAGCUGUGCACUAGGUAGGAAACCAGGAAGAAGAGGAGGUGAGUCCGUCGGACUGCUUAAGUACCAAGCUCCCUUCGGAUCCAAUCCUAGACAUGCACACUGCCAUUGCCACACUCUAACAUCUCGUAUAACUUUGAGAAAACCGUUUGGUUAGGUCCAUUUUAAGAAAAUGAUUAAGGUUGAAAACGUUUGCUUAGCGGAAGUCUUACUCGUAUUCGUGUUAUUUUGGAAUCACUUAAUUUUUUUGAAAAUGCAUCCUAGAGCUAAUCUAUUUCGUUAGUUAUCAUAGAUCAGUUUUAUCAUAAUAGAAUUAAAUAAUAAAGAAACAACCCAAACCAUAAAAAUAAUUAGCGGCCUUAUUACAAAAAAAACCCAAAACCAUAAACGAAAAUAUGGAAAAUCUAGUUCACCAGAAGAAAACGAAUUUGCAGAAAACGUGUGGCCACUCUGAAUCCCGCCCAGCUCCAAGUCCACCAACUAGGGCUCACCUGCAAGGAUGGAAGAAAAAGAGGUGAGUUUGGGAAAACUCAGUGUAUACAGAAACCCAUCCAAAGCCCAAAUCAGCUCGAGCCCAUUGGGCCUAAGCCCCAUUCAGAUAACAGUACACAGUGGACCAAAUCCCUUUUCAGAACACAAUAGCAAGGCCUUAGCCCUUUUUAACAUAACAGUGUGUCCCAUAGGCCCAGUUCAGUAACAUAGGUAACAAUAGUAGUAAUGCGUGCAAACCCAUCUGGGGAGACUACUCAACCCACCAACCGCUACACUGCCCCGUACCAGCCCUACACUCCAUGUGGGGAAUAUCUCAACCCACCCAGCCCUACACUCCACAGUUGCAGCAACGCUGCUCAAAUAUCAGUAAGUUGAGGCAAAGCCUCCAGUACGUGGAUGAACCACUUUCAAUACUUCCUCCAUCAAUACCCCAAUCCCAUGCAACAGAUAUUAAUAAAGCAUAUCAUGUACAAUACAGUAUUAAUCAAUCAUGCAGUUUAGCUAAUUUAAACCCUAGGGGUAUUUCGGUAAUUAUGCUCUUUAGGGGUAAUUUCGUACUUACGCAACUACACAAGUUAUUUUAGUAAUUUUUAGCCGUUUUAUGCAAUUUGGUUCCACCAUCUAACUAACAUGCUACUUUGCCCAUCUCUUACCCAUAUUGGUCCGUUAGCCCAUUGGGCCCAGUUUUGGCCCAUCGAGGCCCUCUUUUUCCGAAGUACGUUAAGACGUAACACAAACUUACUUACCACCUUGCGGUGCUAGAUCUAACAAUUACUCUACGUCUUUGAGAGCAUUUGCAUACUCACAAGCCCAUGAAAUGCCAGAAUUUCGGUAUUUCUGCUUUUGCCGAAUUGAACUAAGAAAGGGUGUUCGGUACACACCUGAUUCGCGAUGACUGCUACUGAGAUCUCUUCUGAUGUCCUAAAAUUGAUUAGCACAGUUCUUAUUUACAAACCAUAAUCACUAAACCCCAAAACUUACUUAUCCAUGAUCGAACCAUGUCCCUAAAAGCCUUUGAAACCUUACCUUUUUGCCAAAAUCGAUAGCUAGCUCCGAAUCUGAUUGCUCCAACAACCCACGCCUUCAAUCCAACACUUAAGAAGACACUAAUCAUUGACAGAAAACGUCAGUUAAAAACCCUUAGAGCCACAUGCCCAAAUCGACAGCCUCCCUAGAUUUUAGGGACUUUGGCUUUUCCUAACUUUGUAAAAUAUGACCAGAUCUGAGAUGAUGAACACUUACCCCUUACUCCUCUUUGAUCUCCAUGCAAUCUGAUACAGAUUUAUCUUUCAAACGACGGUAGAACUCGACUCCCAAAGUUUUGAAGUUUCGGCUAUAAGCCCCCAAAUCUAUGGUUUUUCGGCUUUUGGGUGAUGAAGGAGAUGACAAUGUGGAACUAUAACCUGGAUGUAGAAUUGCCAACAGGUCUCUAGAGUUCAGAAAGAAUAAUCAUUGAUUAAUGGAAACACAAUGUUAAAGGUUUUGGCUCUGAAGAAAUCGGUACCUGUAAUGUGUGUUCAAGAUUUCGGCUUUUAUGGAUUCGGCAAAAGUAUUGAUGAACAGCAGAAUUGAUGAAUAGUUUUGAAGAAGAAAAAUAGAAAAAGAAGAAUAGGGGAAGUGGUAGUUUCGGCUAAAGAGUAAAAAGAGAGAAAAGAAAAACCUUGUGAUGUCUGAGCAGAAAGGAACGGCACCACUCAAUACCCUAGGUGCCGAAAUACUAACCUCAUAACCCUCUGCCGAUUUUUCCCCUUUCAAUUCCCAAAAUUCGGCCAACUCCUAACCUCUCUCCUAAUCCCUUAAAUCUCUCCCCUUAUCACUCCUUAAUCCAAGCGUUUGGACUGAUCCAAACUCUCCUUUAGCAGAAUCCACCUGGACUCCAACACUACCCCUCCUGCACUUAAAAAUAAUUGCAUCUCUUUGUCAACACAGGGAAUCGAUCCCAUGCCUCCCUCAAAGCUCCACACGCCACCUUUUUAGGAGCCUAGUGGCAUCACCCUGGCCACUUUACCAAGGCUCUUUUUGUGAUGCAAUUUGCCUAUAACUCUAUACAAUGACCAUCUAGCCAGAACCCCUAACUCCUAAGUCCUAAAAUUCAAAAAUUCAACCGGGUUUUGGCAAACACAUGGGCCUUCUAUAAGCCCAUUUACCUACUCAAAAUAUUAAUUUCACAUCCGAAUACAAAAUUUUAAAAUCUUUACAAAUAUUGAAAACCGCGAAUAAAUCCGAAAAUCAGGAUGUUACAACAAAGGUUGCCAAAAGAAAAGAAAAAGAAGAAAAAAACAAAUUAUAGAAGAUGACCGAGACUGGUAAAAAUUGGCAUAAGAAACUACCGCAUACUCUCUAUGCUUACGCUGGGGCAAACACCUUCAAUUCCAGUUGUUUCAAAGGUUCCAACCAUCAUCCUUGGAAUGGGUGCAUUGUUUGGCUUUCCUGAGCAGUCUAAUGUGCUGUCAAUAGCUACAAUGGUUAGCUCCAGGAGGUGGCCAUUGAUUUCCAGCUAUGGGGCAUCAAGCCGUACACAGUCUCUGAAGCUUAAAAUGAUAGAUUCUUUCUUCAAAACCAAUUUUUGACAAAAUGGAUGACGGUAUCAUGAAGGAAACUCUCUUAGACUUCUAUACAAGUUCAGAGAAGAGGAAGCCUGAUCAAGUCAUGAAUAUAGCGAGUCUCAGUUCAGUCAAAUGAUGAACAAAUGAUUUGAUCAAGUUAUCGAGACUUUAGGGAUCUCCUGACAAUGUGCUACAUGGUACUGUCAUUGACAACAAAGUAUGCCAUCCAAAGAACAAUGAUUUUUACCUUGGUACCCAUGCUAGAAUGAUUGGAGUCACGAGGCAGACCCACUAUCAUGUUCUCUUAGACCAGGCUGGGUUUUCGGCUGAUGAUCUGCAAGAGUUUGUUCAUUCUCUAUCCUACAUGUAUCAAAGGAGCACUACACCCAUAUUUGUUGUGGCUUCUAUUUGCUACGCUCUUUUGGCAGCUUCACAGUUGGGGGCAAUUUAUGAAGAUUAGGGAUGCUUCAGAAACAUCAUCGAGUCAUGCUGGGAUGUAUGUUUCGGGAGUAAUCCCUAUACCUCAGCUUUCCAUGUUGAAGGAUAAAGUCAGCAACUUCAUUCUUGUCUGCUGAGAAUCAUUGAACCAUUUUUUUGUAGGGUUUGACAAACAACAGCCAGGACUGCUGCUGGGGCAAUCCCUUUCUCAUGGGUUUAUGAAUCAAGAUUUUUCCUCCAAGCUUUGAUGGAGUCAAGAAUUGAAUACCUCUAGUAAACUUAACUUGAAAGUAUUCAUCCUAAGCAAAUGUACCAAGAAUGGAUGACACAGACUUAUGACAAAGAAUAUUCAUCCAAAAGAAUUUCAUAAAGGAAACCUUGUGCUAAAAGAGAUCUUUCCCAUGCAAAAGGAGUACUUUGUGUGAAAGAGAAGGGAAGCCAAGGUGAAAACCCGCAAAGGGCACUUUGGGACUUCUAUUUCAAAAAAAAAGGAAAAAAGAUAAAAAAAAGAGGAAAAGAGAAAAAAAAAUAGAAAAAAGAAUAUAGAAAAAAAAUGGAGAGGCUAAGAUGAAAACCCGUAAAGGGCACUUUGAGACCAAAGGGGUUUUGAGUUGAAAACCCGAAAGGGCAGCUCAAAUUUGGAAAGCCAUGCAGUGGCCUUGUUAUACCAGAUUCGACGAGAAGUGAAGUAUGUUACAUAUCGAGGUAUCAACGAAUUACUUUGGAUCUUUUAAACACAUGUUGAACUCAAGAAAGUCUUCAUAAAGCUGGUGUAUAGACGCUCAAGCGGCGAUAUCUGGGCCAUCUGAUUUCUGUCCUAUUUACUAUAUUUGGAUUCUUUUUCUUUGCAAAGAUAUGUUCUCAGGUUAAUCUUUUUGCAUUCCUUCCAAUAAUUUGUCCAAAUCUAAUUAUCCUCAGGAUCAAUUUAUUUGUCUCCCAUUAUUCAUAAAUCAUGUUGCAUUGAAAUAAUGAUAGAUGAACUAAAAUAUCUUCACAAACGAAGUUUUGCAUAUUACUCUGGAAAUUUCUAGAUAAUACAAUAAACUGAACCAAGACAAUUGUUUAAGGAAUUCUCAUAUGUAUGGGUUGGAGAUACUCGAGAGAUUUUCUUCUUCAGUCCAAAAGGUGGUUGGACGUUUUAAGCAAUAUUGAUCUUAAGAAAUGAUCAUUUCAUAAACAUCUUCAGUGGGUCGUAACAUUCGGGGAAUGGUACGGUAGACCAAAUUGAUGGAGAAGAUUCGAGGCAUACAAGCAGAGUAUGAUUGAUAUAUCGAGAAGAACGAGGUGGAAAGAUCUAUACAUGAAUGAGUGAUGACGUUUGAAAUAGGAGUUAUUUUCAUAAACAUUUUGCAUCAUAAUAUGUCUAAUUAGGAGCAUUUGACUCAUUUCGAUCAUGGCAUCUUAAUUAUUUGGCAUAAGCAUAAAUUCCAGGAAAUCAAUUCUACAGGUGGAUUACCCAGUGCACAAUGUAGCAAGGUUGAUUGAAAAUUACAAAAUUCAGUGCCUUAAUCCCCUAAGCAGUAGGGUAACAGGUUAAAUUUACAGAUCUUAUUUCCCUAAGCAGUAGUGGAGCAGAUCAAAGACUCGCCUUAAUCCCCUAAGCAGUAGGGUAACAGGUUAAAUUUGCAGAUCUUAUCUCCCUAAGCAGUAGUGGAGCAGAUCGAAGACUCACUUUAAUCCCCUAAGCAGUAGGGUAACAGGUUAAAUUUGCAGAUCUUAUCUCCCUAAGCAGUAGUGGGGCAGAUCGAAGACUCGCCUUAAUCCCCUAAGUACUAGGGUAACAGGUUAAAUUUGCAGAUCUUAUUUCCCUAAGCAGUAGUGGAACAGAUCGAAGACUCGCCUUAAUCCCUUAAGCGGUAGGGUAACAGGUUAAAUUUGCAGAUCUUAUCUCCCUAAGCAGUAGUGGAGCAGAUCGAAGACUCGUCUUAAUCCCCUAAGCAGUAGGGUAACAGGUUCGUAGAUCUUAUCUCCCUAAGCAGUAGCGAAGCAGAUCGACAACGACUCGCCUUAAUCCCCUAAGCAGUAGGGUAACAUAUUAAAUUUGCAUAUCUUAUCUCCCUAAGCAGUAGUGGAGCAGAUCGAAGACCCGCCUUAAUCCCCUAAGCAGUAGGGUAACCGGUUAAAUUUGCAGAUCUUAUCCCUAAGCAGUAGCGGAGCAGAUCAAAGACGAUGCACCUUAACCCCCUAAGUAGUAGGGUCCAAGAUGAUGUGGUAUCUCUGCAAUGACAGGGAACAAGUCGAAGAUAGCAGAUCGGGCGUCUCUAUAUUUGACAGAGAGCAAAUCGAAGAUAUAGCAAAUUUGGCUUCCGGAUGUUCUCACACCAAAGCAGAUCCAAGAUAAGCGAUCUAGCAUCUUCAUUUCGACGGAGAGCAGAUACAUAGUAGAUCUAACCUUCAUAUGAUUUUACUGAAGCAGAUCCAAGAUGAUUUGGCAUUUUUGUGUUCAUAAGGAGCAAAUCGAAGAUAUAGCAGAUUUGGCUUUUACGUGUUUACGCUGAAGUAGAUCUAAGAUGAUUUGGCAUUUCUGUAUUAUCAGAAAACAGAUCGAAGAUAACAGAUUUGGCGUCUCUGUAUUAGACGGGGAGCAGGUCAAAGAUAGUAGACAUCGCCUUCUUGAGUUGCAGUGAACCAGAUUGAAGCCGUCAGGAGGCCAUUUAAAGAAGAUCAAGGAUCAAGAACUUAAGACUCGACGAGCCCGGGCAAAAUUGGUCCUUUUAUAGUCUUUGCUCUAUUCCUGUUACCCAGCAAUGAGCAAAGAAGGGCAGCUGUAGACACUCAAUUUUGCCCGGGCCCAGAAAUAAGUUCAAAAAAAAAAACAAAGUCCAAGUCCAGUACAAAAUUACAAACAUAUAAUUUGGCCCAAUCGAAAUGGCCCAUUACUUGAAAAGAUUGAAGAUCCAUCUAUGGGCUUGACUCAUAUGGAAAUAUAAUCUUUAAGGAUAUGCAAUCUUAGAUAUGAUAUGCAAUCUUAGAUAUGAUACAAUCUUAGAUAUGAUAUGCAAUCUUGAAGAUAUGAUCUUGUAAUCUUGGAGAUUUAAUUUGUAGAUAUCCUUUAAUCUUAACCGUUGAUGUAAUUGAUCUGUACCGUUGGAUAUGGGGAGGGUCAACUAUAAAUAGAGGUCUCUCCCUUCAUUGUAAAUCACUGGAGUUUUGGGAAGCAAUAAGAAUUCUUGAGAGCAUUCACUCAAAUUUCUCUCCCUCUUGCGUUCUUACUCUCUGUGGUUUGUUCUUAUUUUAUUCUUCGUCUAUCUUAGUUUUUCAACCCUUUUUUUAUUUUAAUUUCUUCACUUUUCAAAUAUGUAUAUUUAUUCCUAUCUUUUAUACAUUUGAUUAUGUAUUUUAUAUAUUAUAAUAUUUAACCUUUUUAUAUAGUUUAUUUUCAAAUAUAUAUUUUCUAUGCAUGUAUAUAUAUUAUAUUAUCAUUUCAUGUAUUUUGAACUACUGCAUUAUAUUUUUAUAAUUUGUAAAUGUUCUAUUUAUUCAUUUUUUUAGUGUAUGUCAUUUAUCUUAUUUGUGCAUAGUUUCAUUUUUUUAUAUGCUAUGUUUAAUUAUUUCUUUUAUAUGCUAUUUUAUGAUAUAUAUUGUUGUAUAAUUUUUGCAUGUAUUAUGUUUUUUCUUUUAAUUUACUCAUAUUUUUAUUUGUUUAUUAUCUUAUAUUUACCCUAGUAUGAUUUUUUUCAUUAAACGUAUGUUCAUGUUAUUUAGUUUUGUCUUAAUGAUAUUAUUUAUGUUUGUAUGGAAAUGUUAGAAUAUUUUGUACAUCUAUGCUUCAUGAUGCAUUAAUAUGUCAUCCUAAAACGUCAUUUAAAAUAAUAUUCCAAGGUUUUUUUUUAAAAAAAAUAAAAGGCAAUGCUUGAUGUUUGGAAACUUCGAGAAAAGUAGUGCCCUAACUUACUGGGUUGCGACUUUUCUCGUUGAAUUCGAAUAGUCAAGCACCCUUCUAAGUGAUUUUGAGUUUUCAAAACUUAAACAAUUAUUUCGAGGUUUCAAAAUAUAGUGUCCUAACUUACUGGAUAUGGCGUUUUGUUGUUUCGAGAUAGAAAUUUUUGAAAGACGAGCUUAGUUUCAAAGGUUUUAAAAUGUUGCAUCCUAACUUACUAGAUGUGAUGUUUUGAUUCGUUUAAAAUAAGUGAGCCUUAAUUUUCAAAAUUAAGACAUUCUAAUUAAAAGAGAUUUGCAUCUUAAAACUUUCAAAUUUCUGACAUUAAAGACACUUGAUAAUCAAUUAAGUACCAAUUUUUGGGCGUUACGAGGGUGCUAACCCUUCCUCGUACGUAACCGACUCCCGAAUCUAUUUUCUCGACUUUCGUAGACCAAAAUUAAUGUUUUAAAACAAAACAUUUUAUAAGGUGAUCCAAUCACACCUAAAAAGAUUGGUGGCGACUCCCGUUUUCGUUUUUCUUAAAGUCGAUUCUCAUUUUCCAAAACUCGAUUUAAAAAUGGUUUCGACACUUAUCAUAUCUGGUGUAUGGUUGUUAUAUGAAUGUCUAGCUGGUGAAUUGAAAUUUUGGUUAUCAUGUAUAUGAGCUUGAUAAGUGGCAUGUAUAUUAAGUGUUUGUAUAAGGAUGCAUAUAUGUGUUUGACCAUUUAGGUAUGUUUGGGAUGCAUAAUUUGCAUGUUUAUAAAUGGUCAAUUAAGGUGCCUAUGGGCAUCAUGGUUGUAUAUGUUGAUAUGGGCAUCAUGGUUGUAUAUGUUGAUAUUACAUGAUUUAAUCUUGAUUUUGGUUGGUUUUGAAUGCCUGUUUGUGUCAUGGUUAUGUGCAAAUUGUUGAUUUAAGUUGGUACCAAAUUUGGGUGAGAAAUAUGGCUUGGAACAUGACCUACUUUUGUCCACACGGGCAGAGACACAGGCGUGUGUCUCAUCCAUGUGUGACACACGCCAGAUGACAUGACAUUGUGUCUCAUAUAAAUUUUAAAUUGUACAAUUUAGUAGCCUCACACAGCCUAGCACAUGGGCGUAUGGCUUGAAUGUGUGUCGCAAGUCAGUAUGCUCAUUAUUUUUCACACGGCCUAGCACAAAGGCGUGUGGCUUAACCAUGUGACCUAAGUUAGUAAGCUCACUAGUUUGAAUUCGGGCUAGGACACGGGCAUGUGUCCCCAUUUUGAAUGCCCAAAUGGCCUAAGACACACGGCCACAUGGGCGUGUGUCCCCUACACCUUUGAAAAAUUUCCAUGUUUUUCGAAAAAUUCUUUGAGUACUCGAUUUAGUCCCGACUUGUUUUUAAUGUUUAUUUUGGGCCUCGAGGCUCGUAUUAGGGACUAUAUGAUUGACUGUGAUUGGUUUUUUAUUUGAAUGUGAGAUGAAAAUGAAAUGUUUACUUGUCCAAUUGUAAGUUUAUUAAUGCUUCGUAACCCUGUUUUGGCGUCGGAUAUGGGUUAGGGGUGUUACAUUAGCCUUAGUCAAAAUUUGGAUGCUGAUGAGAAAACUAUUUUGUUUUAUAGUUGAAAAUGUUAGCAGAACCAAAAAACGUUGAUAAUGAUGACAUGAAUAAUAAUGGUCACCCGGUUGAUAACAAAAAUAGGAUUUGGGUCAAAGCACUUAGUGAAUAUUUAGCUAAUGCUUAACAACAUAGGACUGUGAGAUCUCGACAAGAAGAUCAAGGUAAUGAGGGAUUAUCAUAGUGGAAAUCUUUUAGAGAAUAGCGAGAAUUGCUCCAAAAACUACUUCUGCAACCUCUACUAGACGCACUCCAAUAAAAGAACUACUAAAGUAUAGUGCCCUAGAGCUUAUAAAAAUAAAACGGGUCGAUCUUUUGGUAGCCAAAAUGCUGCUAGAGGCAAUGAACCGAGAACUUCAAUAGUUAGAAUGCACGCCCCAUGAAUGUGUUAUAUUUGAAAUUUCUCUUCUAUAAGGAGAAGCAUACAAUUGGUGGCAAACUAUUAUUCAUGUGCCUGCUCAUCGGAUUGGCUGGGAUUUCUUUCAAUCUGAAUUCCAGAAAAGGUACGUCAGUGAAUUAUAUUUAGAGGACAGAAAACAAGAGUUCCUAUUGUGGAAGCAAGGCGAGAUGACAUUAAUUGAUUACAAAAGCAAAUUUCUGUGACUCAGUAAGUACGCUUUACAACUUGUUCUGGAUGAAGAAGAAAGUUGUAAGCGAUUCCUCCAGGGAAUGUGAGAGAAGGUUCUAGUUUAAUUGGUCUCACACAAAAUAAAAGAGUUUGUCGAUCUAGUUGAAAGAGUGAAUAUGGUUGAAGAAGCCUUGGACUUAGAUAAGAAAGAUAUGUCUCUUCGAGUAUUUGGGAAGAGAGUAGAGACUAUAGGCUCACAACCUCUACUGAAACGAACUAGGAAGUCUUGAGGUUCUGAGAAACCAGUACCAUUGAAUGUAGAAUUUAAGAAAGAUUAGGUUAAACAACCAUCAGUACCUAUUGGCAAUAGUAAGAAGUUGAAAAAGGAUACAACUAUUUUGAACUGUAAACUUUGUGGCAGAAAAUGCAGAAGUGAAUGUUGGAAGAAAACAAGAGCAUGUUUUCAAUAUGGAUCUUUAAAGCAUAUCGCUCAGAAUUGUCCAAGAAAUGUUGAUAAUAUUCCUGCAGCUACCCAGAGAUCUAAUUCGACAAAAAAAGGUCAGGGAAAC